rnacentral:lncRNA from 1 species
UUUUUUUUUUCUAUAGAAAAUGAUUGCUGUCACCAUGACAACCAAAAUGCGCUCAGUGAAGAUUUUGGUUCUUGAAUCUAGUCCUAAUCUGGAUUUAGUUAUUGACUUCCUCAUGUGCUUUCCCUGCUUGGUGAAGCUCUAUGUCAUUGUGAGUGUUCAUAUUGUUGCUAGAAAUGUCAAAACAUUAUGGUUUCAGACGUAUGAUGUACUCCCUCUGUUUUAGGUGCUAAUUUGUUAUCAUCUGCCUUAAUAUCAUUUCUUUUUUCUAUCCCCAGUUGAAUGCAGGAAAGAAUAUGAAUAUUGUGCGGAAGUAUGAUCAAUUUGAUACAAUUGAAUGCCUUGAACUCCAUCUAAAAGAAGUGGUUCUCAAGAAUUACUGCGGUGGUUAUAGAGCAUUUUUUGACUUUGCCAAGUUCUUUCUUUUGAAUGCCAAAGUGCUGAAUAAAAUGGAAAUCGGAGGCUCUUAUUACCGCAACGACGACUGUUAUUUAAGGCUGCUACAAGUGGAGAAUAGAGCCUCUCAAGAUGCGCGAAUUGAAGUAAACAGAAAUAUAUUCACUCGCCAGUACAUACCCAUGAUUUGUCAAUGGCUGAUCCCUUUGACUGAUUCGUAUGUGGAUUCUCCAAGUGUGUUAGACUGUGUUGCCCUUUGUCCAAAGUCAAAAAAAAGUGGCUGCCUUUGCUUGUCUGUCUAGAGUUGUCACUCCCUUAUAACGCUCUGCAAAAUGGUCUACUCACUUCAGCAAUGGAAUGCUUUGUCAGCCACUAUAGAGGAAACCAGGAUUGAGGGGGUACGGUGGUGCCCAAGCCAAAGAUUAAAGUCGAAACUUGCAAAUGUACAAGGUGCUUGAAUGUUACUGGUAUUUGUGUGUUUUUAUGUUUAUUUGGUAUACUUGCUAGUUCUCUCCUGCCCAAUGUCAUUGUAAGCUGAGACCAUCUAUAUAUAAGCUACAGCUGUAUAUUUGUUUAUUUGCUUUAAUGAAAAAACACUGAAGUAUGUAGUAUAAGGUUUAUUUCCUUGCAUGUAAUUGAUUACAACUUCUCAGCAGGUCAUUAAGAUCACUCAGAUCGAGACAGACAAGCGUACUAGCUGCACCCAAGUUUCUGCUAGUUUAGUCAAGAAUGUCUGCCUGAUAUAAAUUGUCUGAUUCCUUUGUGUUGAUUUCUGUAAGUUGGUCUAUCAGAAUCUCUGGAAUUUCCGUAAGUACUUUGGUGAAUAUUUCUGGGAUUUAUAUGAAGCAGUAUAGCUCUAUCACUUUAGUGAGAUUUCCAUUAGUAUAUUUCUAGGUUUGUUUGCAUGAUUCUUUCAUUCACUGCCUAGCUCUAGUCUAUUAACUAACACUUGAGGGUCAGCGCGUACGACGUAUUAGUCGCCACGAAAGCUGAUCAUGGCAAAAGGUUGGCGAUAUGUAGUUUCUUGAAAGGGACGAACUCAAUUUCCUGAACAGUGUAAAGGGGUUGCAACUGGAGAUGAGCAUGCAAGCUCCAGGCAGAGGACGGUGAUGAAGAUGUAUUCCUGGAAAUCAGUAAAAUCUCAUCUUGGCUGGGACGGUAUCUGAAGUCCCAGUCUCACGAUCAUGUCAUAAGUGACAGAAUUUUAUUAUGCGUCUCUGCUCCCUGCCGUCAGUGUUAAGAGUCGCGCUGUAACAAAGAUGCAGAGGAAGAGGAAGGAGAUGUGAGGAGUUGAGAGAAGCAGAAUUUGUUAACGGAGGGAGUUGGUGAUACAGUCCACAUUGCUGACUACAAGUAAUCAAGAGAAAUAGGUGAUACAGUCGGCACUAGUUCUGGCAGAGAAAAUAUGUUUGACUAACACCAACGUGUAAUGUGCUUUGCACAAGGGCAACAACAAGUGCUCCUGUUGAUUUUUACACCUUCCGUCACUACUGUAAUGAUUAGUUGAAUGUUACAGAGCAACCUGACGGCUGGAUACAAAUGCCUACAGGCUAAUGUAGCGCGAUAGUUUGGAUGGCAAUCUGCAUGCUUUCGCUGCAGGGGCUGAGUUCUGACAAAAUUCAGCCGAAAUCGCAUCUUCCUGAUGCUGUUCUACAAGAAUGCAUCACCUAGAUUUUAGUCGAGAUCACAAGAAUAUGCAGCGACAGAUCGGCAUUAAUGUCUGAAUUUUGAUGGGCCAUCUUACCACAAGACUCCAUCGAUCGAUCGCACAAUUGACCCAGACACAUGUUAUUCUUCCUUGAUUAUUUGGGUGGGGAGUUCACAUUCUGAGCGGAACCUCCUGCCGUGUUAAAUACAGUAGCUAGCAGAAUGAAGACGGCAGCACAGCAGGUACCGCCCACAGUCACAGCCUCAUAGGGGACUCGACUGCAUUCCACGCUCAUGUUCAUAUGAAAAAUAAUGACAGAUAGAUUGGUGGGAGUUCUAACUCUGAAUGUCCGAGUGCAGUUUCAGGCUUGCUGCAGUUCAGUCCCAAGUGACAAAACCAAGAACCAACCAACUGUCAGGCAACAAGAAAGCAGAAGCAGGGCCUAAUGUACAUACACGACCAAACUCACAAGUGACAACUCCAUACAUACAGUAACAUUUAACUAGUCUCGUUAUUUUUAUUUAUCUUUCUUAGUUGUUUAAAGUAAUUUUAUGCAGGAAGUGACAGAGCUGUGCCACAAUGAAAGUUAAAUAAAAUUCACUGAUGAUUCCGUCUGUGGAUAAUUAAACGUUGAAGGCUACGAAAGAACCAGCCCAAAUAUGUACAUUAGGCCAUCAAUGUUUAAUAUUCCACAGACGUGCAAAUCAGGGUUGGAGUCCUGCUGGAACGGAGAUGUGGCAAGUUCAGAGAAACAAAAUUCACAGCAAUGUUCCGGUGAUUUAAAUGUUAUUACAAACUUUUUGCCUUGGUCAUAUGAAGUUUCCGUGUUGAGCUUGAGCACGCGGGCGUGAUGCAAAGCUGAUGGCGCACUGCACUUCACAACACCAUAUUUGUGCGUAAGUGCAUAUUUGUGCUUAUUGGAUGUGGUAUUUUGUGCUUUUCAUUAUAAAAUAGGCCUAAGAAAUUAGCACUACCACACCUGAUUUGUGGAGAAAUUAGUGGACAAGUAACGGUGGGUGACUGAUUGUCGUUCCACCCGCACCAACACUUGCUAGCUUUUCUUGGCCCAACAUUUCAAGGUUCACCGGAAGAAAGAUAGAUAUGAUUGACCAACGCAUUCUGAAAAAAAAUCUCCCAUAAUACAUAUAUGCAUGCUCCCCACAAGAAAGUAAAGUGUCUACCAUACACACACAUCCAUCCAAACACAUUCAUCCGGCCAUCACCAGUCGAGCACCCUAGCCUGCAGUCAAUGUCAUGGCAAUCCAUCGCAUGCUCAUCCUCGUGUCUUUGAGCCUGCUGCUACACCUAUGCGUGGCGGAGGAAGCCGCCAGCCACGCAGAAGAAGCACAAGCACAAGCACUCCUCCGAUGGAAGUCCACUCUGCUCAACUCCUUCUCUUUGUCCUCGUGGUCGCACACCACACCGACCUGUUCUUGGUUCGGAGUAACAUGUGAUGCCCACGGCCGUGCUACCCAGCUCAAGCUUUCAUCAUGCAACCUCAGUGGCACUCUUGACGCCUUGUACUCCGCCGCGCUCGGUAGCCUUACCGAGCUCGGCUUUUACGGGAACAACCUCGUCGGCACCAUCCCGGUGAGCAUAUCCCUACUACUCAACCUCACCUAUCUGGACUUGAUGAGCAACAACCUUGUUGGUCCCAUACCCUACCAAUUCAGCAAACUCAAGCACUUGAUGUACCUUGAUUUGUCUAGCAACAGGCUAUCUGGGCUGAUACCACGUCCGCUCUCAGUGCUCACAGCACUAGAGUCUCUGAACCUUGGACAAAACAAUCUUACAGGAGGAAUCCCAGAGGAGCUCGGGAUGCUGCAUAGUUUGGCUCAGCUUGAACUGAACAACAACUCGUUCUUCGGACCGAUCCCAGCGUCACUUGGGCAGCUUAGGAUGCUAGAAUAUCUGGACAUAAGUGGAAAUCAUUUAGGUUCAACCAUCCCUUCCGAGCUGGGAAACCUUACCCGUCUCAUCAACAUAGACCUGUCCUGGAACAAGCUUUGUGGAGGUUUGCCCACAACCUUUUCCAGGUUGUGGCACCUGGAAUCGUUUGUAAUGGGGAACAACAAUCUCGACGGCACUGUUCCACCAGACUUCUUCACAAACUGGACCAACUCCCUCACAAGGUUUGAUAUAGCAAACAACUCUUUCAUCGGAAGCAUCCCACCGGAGAUUGUUCGGUGGGAGAAUCUGUCUAGGCUGUACCUCUCUGGCAACAUUUUCACCGACAUGAUCCCCACUGAGCUAGUAAGCAUGCAACACUUGGAAAUAUUGGACCUGUCCAAUAACCAUCUUAAUGGUGUGAUACCAUCAGAGAUUGGCAACUUGUCAUGGUUAGUAAUCCUGGACCUUAGCUCCAACCAGUUGGAGGGCAAGAUUCCUACUAUGAACCCCGACACUGGAGGUAACUAUUCCAUGUUUUUUGCUAGUCUAAUAUCCUUGUCUGGAAACAAAUUUACAGGUAUUAUUGACUGGAGUUUUUGUCAGCUACCUUAUUUACAGUCCUUGGAUCUAUCAGACAAUCUGUUGUCUGGAGUUAUCCCUAAUUGCCUUUGGAGCUUGCCAAAUCUUGCGUACCUAGAUUUGUCAAGCAAUGCUAUUGAUGGAGAAGUUCCACUCUCAGUACACAAUAUUUCUGCACUGUAUUCACUACAUCUAUCUAACAACCGCUUCACAGGGUGCUUUCCCUCUAUUGUAAGGAACUACAGAAACCUAAUAACUCUAGAUCUUGGUGGCAACAAGUUUUCCGGGGUAAUUCCUACUUGGAUAGGGGCAAGCAAUCCUUCGCUCAGGGUUCUCCGACUACGAUCAAAUAUGUUCCAAGGAAGUAUUCCUCAUGAGGUUACACAACUCAUUCAUCUCCAAAUACUUGACCUAGCUGAAAACAAUCUGACAGGCUGCGUACCAGUUAGGUUUGCUAGCUUUACUCACAGGAAAUGGCCAGAACGGACCUCGCUAGGGAUGGAUCUGAGUUCUGUGUACUACUCAAUUGAUGGCCAGCUUGACAUAAUUUGGAAGGGGCAAGAUUAUACUUUCCAUAGAGCAAUUUGGCUUAUGACUGGCAUUGAUCUAUCAAGCAACUCUCUUUCCGGUGAGAUCCCCGCAGAACUACUUAAUCUUCAAGAAAUUCGGUUCCUCAACUUGUCUAGAAAUAACUUAUCCGGUGGUAUCCCAAACAACAUUGGCAACAUGAAAGAUAUGGAGUCCCUUGAUUUCUCUUGGAAUAAGCUCUCAGGUCCCAUUCCAUCAAGCAUAUCAGAUUUGAUGUGCUUGAGCUCACUUAAUCUCUCCAACAACCUUCUUUCAGGAGAAAUACCUGAUGGUAAUCAGCUUCAAACGCUCAAUGACCCAUCGAUUUAUAGCCAGAACCAAGGGCUCUGCGGCCGCCCUCUGAGCAUCGCAUGUACCAAUGGUUCAAGUGGUACAACAACACUAUACGGGGUAAAGGAGCAUCAACAAGAACUUGAUGCUGUCUGGCUGUACUACUCAGUGGUCGCUGGAAUUGUCUUUGGUUCUUGGCUAUGGUUUGGAACAUUAUUUUUCUGGAAGCAUUGGAGGUUCACUUUUUUCCAUUCCAUCGACGCCGUGCAGCAAAAAGUUGCGCAGAAGUUGAAGCAUAUAUAUUGACCGGUAUGAAGGCCUGGCCCAUCUUCACUGUUAGUAUAGGGCCCAAGCCCAUGUGUGUGACCUAGAUGAGAGCAACCAGAGUUAUAUGCGUGUGUGACACACGGGAGUAGGAGUCAGCCGCCAGACACACCAAACCACAUGUAUGCGGGUAUGCCUCUCUCGUUCUACAUGGUAUCGGAGAGCUGGGGCGAGGGAGGAAGGCGCCGGCGGUAGAGUCGCCAGCGAGGCGGCGGGGUCCGGCGGAGGACGAAGGCGGCGGAGCUGGGCGUGGGCUGCUGGAGAGGAGCACGUGGCGCGGCUGCGCGGAGGUGCAGACGUGCAGUGAGGUGUGUGCGUGUGGAGCUGCUGCUGAGCUUCUGCUGCUGGUGCUAGUGGAGAAGGAAGUGCUGCUUGUAGCUGCGGCAGAGAGAAGGGUGCGGCUGCUGUUGGGGGUUGGUAGAGGAAGAAGAGGAGGUGACAUUGCUGCUGCUCGCCAGAGGAGGAGGCUGGCUGAACUGCAGGUGGUGCUGCUGCUUGCAGGUGCUGGGUGCUGUUGGUGUAAGUUUUUUUUUCCGCUGCUGAUUGAAGAAGAAGAAGAGGGGAGGCAAUCAUGGGGGCUGAACUCACUGCUGCUCUAGAGAAACUUGCGCAGCUCAUGACUGCGAAGGCCGAGGGGUUACCUCCUGCAAGUGGCGCCAUCAUUGUGCCCCACGCAGAUCAGGUGUUCAAGCUUGAGCUCAUGCCAAAUGAUGUCAAGCUGAAUGGCGUGAGCAGCUACCUGAGCUGGUCGAGGCGCGCCUUGUUGAUCUUGAAGACAAAGGGUCUGACGGAGUAUGUUCUUGGAACGGUUGAAGAAUCGGCUGACAAGGCGAGCCCAGAAUGGAAGAAGUGGAGUGUCACCGACUCUCUGAUUUUGGCCUGGAUGUUGAACUCCUUGAUUCCAGCCAUUGCCAUGUCUGUUGAGGCAUUGCCAACUGCUUCUGCUGUGUGGAGCAUGUUGUUCACAAGGUAUUCCGGUAAGGGAAACCUGAUGCUCAUGUCUCAAAUUGAAGACAAGAUUCAUGCUGUUCGUCAAGGUGACAGAAGCGUGCUGGUGUAUGUGAAUGAGCUGCAACACCUUUGGGCAGAUCUGGAUCAGUGUGAUCCCCUUGAGAUUCCACAUGCAGAGUCCAUGGAGCUUGCCAGGAAGUGGGUUGAGCGCAGGCGUGUGGUGCAGUUUCUAAAGGGCCUAGAUCAAGCUUUUGAGAGUAGACAUGCUGCGAUGCUACAUCAGCCGACACUUGUGACCCUUGAUGAGGCCAUUGCUGCGAUGUCCCAAGAAGAGGUACGCUUGUAGUCGAGAAGGGGAGUUGGAAAUGAAUCUGCUUAUAGGGUGGCUGACCAGCGAGGGGUGUGUCACAAUUGUGGUCAACCAGGGCAUAUCAGCCGUUUCUGCAUUGGACCUAGGAACGUCAGAGGCCGAGGGUACAGUGGUGGCAGUAGCAGCCGAGGUGGUUGGAAUGUGAGUCGUGGUCGGAAUGGGAGUGGCGGUUCUUGGAAUGCUCCCCAUUGGAAUGCUCCUAAGGCAAAUGUAGCUGCUUCAGCUGCAGGGAAGCAGCCUGUAGGAGGACAGGAGACUGCUCCCAGCUAUGCCAACUUUGUUGAUACAAAUGAAGGUAACAUUGAACACGCAUCAAUCGCAGCCCAUAAAAUAAACUCUGAAUGGGUGCUUGACUCUGGAGCAUCACAACAUGUUGCUGGAGACUUUAAUGAGUUUACAUCUUAUGUUCCACACUCUCUUGCACAUCAGAAAAACAUUCACACAGCAGAUGGCACAGCCCAAUCCAUCAUAGGUGUUGGGACAGUCAACUGCACGCCGAGUCUUGAAUUAUCCUCAGUGUUGCAUGUGCCCGCUUUUCCUGUGAACUUAGUGUCCUCGAGUGCUUUGGUUGACCAAAUAGAUUGCCGAAUAAUUCUUGACAAAGUUGUGUUCUUGAUCGAGGAGAGAUUGACGGGCAGGAGUCUUGGGACUGGAACAAGGCGUAGGGGGCUGUGGUACAUGGACCGCAGCAUGCCGGGCCAGGAGGGAUUGCACAUGCUAGCUGCAAUUGCUGAGGAUAAGGAGAUUAGAGCACUGAUCCAUCACUGUAGGAUGGGACAUGUGUCUUUUGACAAAAUGUAUCAAGUAUUUCCUGAUGUAAUGAGUGGUGUGGACAAGAGCAAGCUGAAAUGUGAUGCGUGUGAGUUUGCUAAACAUACCAGAAACUCGUAUGUGAGUAAGGGGAUCAGGAGCAUCUCUCCUUUUGUGUUGAUCCACUCUGAUGUAUGGACAUGUCCAGUGUUAUCUGUCAGUGGUAUGAAGUACUUUCUUACGUUCAUUGAUUGUCAUUCUCGGAUGACUUGGGCCUAUCUUAUGAAACAUAAAGAUGAAGUGUUUCAGUGUUUCAAAGUCUUUUAUGCACUUGUUCAGACUCAAUUUAAUGUGAAAAUUCAAGCACUCAGAUCUGACAAUGGCACCGAAUAUGUUAACAAGGCCAUUGGUUCCUUCAUGUCAGACAAGGGCAUCUUGCAUCAAACAUCUUGCCCAGACACACCUCCUCAGAAUGGGGUGGCAGAGAGGAAAAAUCGCCACCUACUGGAGGUGGCCCGUGCAUUGAUGUUCACCAUGAAUGUGCCCAAGUUUCUGUGGAGUGAAGCUGUCAUGAUGGCCACCUUCUUGAUCAACCGCACACCAUCCCGGGUGACAGGUAUGAAAUCACCGUGUGAGUUGGUUUUCACAGAAAAUAAAUUCCCAGUUCCCCCCAAGGUGUUCGGUUGCACUUGUUUUGUUCGUGAUCACAGGCCAUCAGUCAACAAACUGGAUCCUCGGGCAGUCAAGUGUAUUUUUAUUGGGUAUUCUUCAGAACAAAGAGGGUACAAAUGCUGGAGUCCGUCUGAGAGGAGGACAUUUGUGAGCAUGGAUGUUACGUUCCGUGAAUCGGAACCCUUUUAUGGUGAGCAAACUGACCUAAGCGUCUUGUUUGAAGAACUUGACCAAUGUCUCCAACCGGAAAUUGGUCAAGAGGGGGAGAGCAGUGAUAGUGAUAAUGAUAACUGUGGUGGUGCCGAUUCAGUGCUGCAGCAACCAAUCGAGGGUGAUAUUCCGGUACAGGGAAGCGAACAGCAGCCCCAAAAAAUGAUAACACCACAGAGUGAAGGACCGAUUGUGACUGAUGGGGUGCCGAGUCAGGCAAGCGGUGCUCCCACCCAGAUCGGUUGUGUACCGAGGUGGACGGUAGAGCAAGAGGAGCAGCUAAAGGUGUAUUCACGGAAGCAAGGUGAUGCUUCUCAUAGGUGGCAGAAGGUGAAUGAGGAGCGUAAUCCUCAAGUAUAUUCAAGACGACAGCAUCAUGUUCAGGGGAGCAGCCAACACAGAUGCAGGGGGAGCAACAAGGCAGCAAUGCAAGCUCAGUUGACACAGAGGACUUGCCAAUUGCUUUGAGAAAAGGUACUCGAGAAAAAGCAGGGAUACCCAGGCCAAAGUAUGGGUUCGAUGCCAAUGAUAUUGGAAAUUAUGUUUCCUAUGAAGCAUUAUCUCCAGCCCACAAAUCAUUUGUUGCUUCUCUUCAGCUGGUGUCUCUUCCAACUGAUUGGAAGGCAGCAAAAGUGGAUCCAAAGUGGCGAGCAACUAUGAUAGAGGAGCUGGAGGCAUUAAGUAAGAACAAGACAUGGGUACUAACACCUCUUCCAAGAGGAAAGAAGGCAGUUAGCUGCAAGUGGGUAUACACCGUGAAGCAGAAUGCAGAAGGGAAGAUUGAAAGGUACAAAGCAAGGCUUGUGGCGAGGGGGUACAGCCAGACCUACGGCAUUGACUAUGAUGAGACCUUUGCUCCAGUAGCAAAGAUGAACACUGUGAGGAUUCUGAUCUCCUGUGCAGCAAAUUUCGGGUGGCCUUUACACCAACUUGAUGUGAAGAAUGCCUUCUUGCAUGGGGACUUGAAGGAGGAGGUAUACAUGGAUAUUCCACUUGGGUUCUCAACUUCUGAGACUGCUGGUAAGGUAUGCAGGCUAAAGAAAGCUCUUUAUGGACUGAAACAGUCUCCAAGAGCUUGGUUUGACAGAUUUAGACGGGCUGUGCGUGGCAUGGGGUAUGGACAAUGCAACGGUGACCAUACAUUGUUUUAUAGACACUCUAAAGGAAAAAUGACCAUCCUUGCAGUUUAUGUUGAUGAUAUCAUUAUCACCGGCGAUGAUGACAUAGAGAUAGCAAGGUUAAAGGGGUGUCUGAGUAAGGCAUUCGAAGUUAAAGAUCUUGGUCCACUCAAGUACUUCCUUGGUAUAGAAGUGGCAAGGUCUGGAAAAGGAAUAGCUCUUUCUCAAAGAAAGUAUACCCUGGAUCUCCUCUAUAAUGUUGGCAUGUUGGGUUGUCGAGCUGCUGCAACCCCAAUUGAUCAAAAUCAUAAAGUGACCGCCCAAUCAGGUGAUCUGGUGAAUAAAGAAAAAUAUCAGCAAUUGGUGGGAAGAUUAUUGUACUUGUGUCAUACACGACCAGACAUUGCAUUUGCAGUAAGUGUUGUGAGCAGAUAUAUGCAUGAGCCUAGGAGUGAACAUCUCGAGGCAGUAUAUAGAAUCCUGAGAUACUUGAAGGGUUCUCCUGGGAAAGGAUUGAUAUACAAGAGUCAUGGACAUCUUGUCGUGGAUGGUUAUUGUGAUACUGAUUGGGCCAGCUGUCUGGAUGACAGGAGAUCAACCUCAGGCCAUUGUGUUUUCGUAGGAGGAAAUCUAGUGUCUUGGAGAAGCAAGAAACAACCCAUUGUUUCCAAAUCAACCGCAGAGGCUGAAUAUAGAGCCAUGUCUCAGGGAUUGAGUGAGUUGUUAUGGACAAGAAAUCUAUUAGGAGAGUUGAAGAUAUUGAAGACCAGUUGUAUGAAUGUAUGGUGCGACAACAAGUCGGCAAUUAGCAUAGCAAACAACCCAGUUCAACAUGAUAGAACCAAACAUGUGGAGAUUGACAGAUUCUUUAUCAAAGAAAAACUGGAUGCUGGGAUUAUCAAGAUAGAGUAUGUGAGUUCAAGACAACAAAUUGCAGAUUGCUUGACUAAAGGACUGAGAACUAGAGAAUGCAGUUCAGCAUGUGACAAGAUGGGAAUGAUAGAUAUCUACCACCCAUCUUGAGGGGGAGUGUUGACCGGUAUGAAGGCCUGGCCCAUCUUCACUGUUAGUAUAGGGCCCAAGCCCAUGUGUGUGACCUAGAUGAGAGCAACCAGAGUUAUAUGCGUGUGUGACACACGGGAGUAGGAGUCAGCCGCCAGACACACCAAACCACAUGUAUGCGGGUAUGCCUCUCUCGUUCUACAAUAUAUGAUGGAACCCUGUCUGGAGUUUUGCUCUUAAGCAGUUGCCAUUAUCUGCACUGGACAUGCAUGUAUUAUUACUAACGCCCGUCCUUGUUUAUUUUCACCAAUACAUGCCAUCAAAUAUGUUGAAAUCAUGUAUCACCGGAUUCGCUUAUAGAUCUUGUGAUGAAGCCAGUUUCACGUGUACUAGUAUUUUGAUGAGUUGUAAGUGGCGCAUAUACCUUUCAUCGUUCGGUUUAUAUUGUACCUACGCUCGCCCGCCGUAGUAUAUACGGUCUCCAUCUCUCUCGACGUACCCAAAUCCCCUCCCCUAGCCUAACACUGCUGCACAGGCCUCCUGAACAACAUUUGAAAUUUGAUAACUUGCAUAGUUAUAUUCAUCAUUUCUUCUUUUAUUCUCAUAAAAGGAAUGCAAGUAAAGUUUAAAUUAUAUCUCCAUCUGUAUAAUUUGGUGGUGUUAAAAGGCAUGCUCUGUUUUUAAUGGUUUCCUGGCCUCGUUGUGUCACAAACUUCUACGUUUAGAUGGCUUGAAUCGAUGCCAUGGAGCAACUGGUUAGAGCGGUUUGAAGUUUGAUUGUUGUUAUUUUCUACCCUCGUCCAUUUAUUUGAUGGCAUGAAAAUAAAGAUUGCACACGUGUUUCUUGGUUCUGGUUAGGCAACUCACUGGAUAAAGAGUUGAACAAAGUUUUGUAUGGAGAAAGAGUGUUCCAGGAUUCCGUGAGAACAUGUAAAAUGAAUCCUUUGGAGGAAAAAGCAGGGCAAUCUUCCUUGAGAAUCUUUCUACGUGAUAAAUAUAUAGUUCCAUUCCUUUGUGCUGAUUGCUGCAAGUCAGACUAUCUGAAUCUCUGUAAUUUUCACAAGUACUUGGGUGGAUAUUUCUAGGAUUCUACGGAUACAACAUGGAUGCUUGGGUUAAAUUGCACAAGUAUAGCAAUUCAUCUUGUUAGUUGCAAGAACUAUAUAGCAGAGACCCGUUUUUGAUUUGUUUGCGCGAUUUUUUCAUUCACUGUGUAGCUCUAGUCUGUUAAGCAACGCUUGAGGGUCAGCGCAUACGUUGUCCUAGUCGCCAGGAAAGCUAUCCGGCAGGACUCGAUGACCUGAUCAUGGCAAAGGUUGGUGACAUAUGGUAUCUUGAACGAACUUAAUUUCUUGAACAGUAUAAAGGGGUUGCAUAUGGAUAAGAAAAUCCGCGGCCCUCAUCGUUGGCGAGUGGUGUGCUUCUGUGGUCCUGGUUCCAGAGAUGAGCAUGACGAUGGUAUCUGAAGAAAUGUUUGUCAUCCGACGCUGUAACAGAGAUGGAGAGGAGGAGGAAGUAAGAUGUGGCAAGGUUCAGAGAAGCAGAGUUUAUAGGAAGUACUCAGUAGUCAAGAGUCGUGAUGUGCCUGUUGGAGGAAUUUGUUUGAACUGUGCCUGCCUGCCGUGUUCCGGUGAUUCGAGUGUGACUGAAAGUCUUGCGUUGGUCUCGGAACUAGAAUGUCGACUCUUGUUGUGGGAGUGUCCAUUCAUGCAUCUCUGAAGCUGUGAAUGCGAAGUUCUAUUACCCCUGCAUUGCAGUUGUUGCAGCAAAUGUACAGCCCAGCCCAUGUUUCUAUAUGGCUUUUGGGAUUUGGAGGCUCGAAGCAAAGCAAUAACAUACAUAGAAGAGUAGUAGAGUACAAACCCCGUUGCUUGCCUGAACAGUUCACAUGUUAAUUAAUAAUGAGACAAGUCUUUUGCCUCUAUUUUAAAAAAGGAGGAGUUCUUUUUUAAUGGAAAAUAUAAAGAAAGAAGAUACUAGAAUAGCAUGGCUCGUACACUUUCCAUUUUAUAGCCAGGGAGACAUUUUUUUAGAUGAAGUAUUUUUUUUUAGACAAUUGAGAUGAAGUAUGUGCUUACGAUCGCUAUUGGCCCUAAUCUGGCUGUGGUUAUUGACUUCUUGAAGUGCUUCCCCUGCUUGGAGAAGCUCUAUAUCAUUGUGAGUACUCAUAUUUAUUGCUAGAAAUGUCAAAACGACAUUGGUUCAGAAUUAUGAUCUAGUGAACUACUAGUAUUUAGCUGCCAAUUUGUUAACAACUAUCUUUAUAUUAUAUAUUUUUCCUAUCCCCAGUUGAAUCGGCACAAGGAUGUAAAUUAUGUGUGGAAGCAUGGUCCACUGGAUCCAGUUCGAUGCCUUGAGCUCCAUCUAAAAAAAGUGGUAUUGAAGAAUUACAAUGGUGACAGGAGGGCAUUUACUAACCUUGCUAAGUUCUUUAUUUUGAAUGCAAAAGUGCUGAAAGAAAUGGAAAUCGGAUUCUUUCAAAUUGGCAACGAAGAAUGGGUUUGUUGUCAACAUAGGCAGCUACAAGUUGAGAAUAGAGCUUCUCAAGGCGCUCGAAUUGAACUAAAAGAUGAUAUGGACCUGAAAUUCACUGACCAUGUGCAUACCCAUAAUUUGUCAAUUGCUGAUCCCUUUGACAGAUCCUUGUGUGGAUGCUCCAAGUGUGUUAGGGAGCCCUUCUGAAGAUUGUGUCACCCUUUGUCCAAAGCCAAAAGAACAUGGCCGGCCUUGCUUGUCUGUGUUGUCACACCCUUAUGGUGCUCUGCAGAAUGGUCUACUCACUUCAGGAAUGGUAUUGAUUUGUACCGACUCUGGAGCAACCCAGGAUUGAGGAGGUGGUGCCUGAGCCAAAGAUUAAAAUUGAUUUCGCAAAUGUACAAGACCCUUGAAUGUUACUAGUUUUUGUGUGUUAUGCUGCUCUAAGUCCUAUUAUAAGCUUAGACCAUGUGUAGGCUACAAGCCUACAACUAAUAUAUUUGUGUCUCUACCUAUUGCUUUGAUGAAAAAACAUAGCCUUGUAUUUCUUCGUUUAAAAGAUGGCAGUGUAAAGUUUAUUUCCUGGCAUGCAAUUCAUUACAACUUUGUUAGCAGGUCAUUGAGACCACCUGUAGACUACAACUAAUAUCCGCAAACUUGUCUGCUAGUUUAGUUAAGAAUGUAUGGUUGGUUCACAGAAUUCAUUUCUUUCACAGAUUUUAAAUUUGAAAUCUUAUGUUUAUACAUUCUUCUAUUCUCAUAAAAGAAAACCAAGUAAAAUUUACAUUAUAUUUUCCUGUGUUAAAUUUAAGGUGAAUUUAAAAGGUAUACUCUGUAUUUUUAUGGUUUCAUGACCUCAUUCUGUCAGAAAUUGCUAUAUUUACAUGGUGUGAAUCGAUAGCAUGGACCAAUUAGUUAUUGUGUUUAGACGAUUGAUUCCGCUGGUUUUUCUAUACCCAUCCAUUUAUUUGUUGACAUAGCACAUAAAGAUCGCCUGGUGGGGUUCACACCCAUCUAUUUAUUUUGUCUUGCUUUUAUGUGGUUGCCGUACUUUAUUUGGCUUGUUCAGGAAAGAGAUGCUUCCCCUUUUUUCCCGUUCUCUGUUAACACAUACCAAAAUGGGAGACUUUCUGUUAAAUCAUUGAAAGGAGAUUUCCCAAAAUUUUGGAAGGAGUCAGAUAUCUUUACUGAGGUUUUUCAUUUGAUGCUUUUUUUUUCAAAAAAUAAAUCUUGCAAUGCAUCUGGAUGUGUUUAUUUUUCAUCAUUAAUCAUUAUUUAUUUCUUUUCUUAUAUCAGAUUAAAAGGUUAAAUGUCCACAGCGUUCGUAGGGAUGUUUUCUCUGGUAAAGGAAUCAUGCAUUUGUUGUUCAUUUCAUUAUUUAUUUGUUUAUUCUGUUUCUUAGUCGCUUAGUUCUCUUCAGCUUUGUCGGUGUUUUCUUUUCUACGGUCUUNNNNNNNNNNNNNNNNNNNNNNNNNNNNNNNNNNNNNNNNNNNNNNNNNNNNNNNNNNNNNNNNNNNNNNNNNNNNNNNNNNNNNNNNNNNNNNNNNNNNNNNNNNNNNNNNNNNNNNNNNNNNNNNNNNNNNNNNNNNNNNNNNNNNNNNNNNNNNNNNNNNNNNNNNNNNNNNNNNNNNNNNNNNNNNNNNNNNNNNNNNNNNNNNNNNNNNNNNNNNNNNNNNNNNNNNNNNNNNNNNNNNNNNNNNNNNNNNNNNNNNNNNNNNNNNNNNNNNNNNNNNNNNNNNNNNNNNNNNNNNNNNNNNNNNNNNNNNNNNNNNNNNNNNNNNNNNNNNNNNNNNNNNUCAGUCUUGGUUCAGUCUUCUGUUUCUUAGUAUUUGUUUCUUUUUAAAUUUCUUUAAUUUCUUACUAGUUCCUUGGUCUUUCUUCAGCCUUCAUCAUCGCCGGUCUCUCAUAGUUCCUUAACUGCGUAGUCUUCUUCUGUUUUGCAUUCUAUGUUUCAUCAUUUCUUUAGUCUCUCAUAUGUUUGGUCUUGAAAGCAGAUGAACGGGCAAGUAAAUGCUUGUAAACCUUUUCUUCGGUAAGUCUCUGUCUGCUUCUAUUUCUCUUGCCAGAGACUAUGUUCAAGUUGCAUUCCUGCCAUGUUCAUGGGAGAAGUGGCAGAUCAGUGGACAAGAGUAUCAUGAUCAGUCCCAGAUCGUCUCCAUUGUUGCAGUGGGAUUAUUGUAUCAUGAUCAGUGGACAAGAGUAUCAUGAACAGCAAGGGACCCACCUGGCGGCUGAAUCUACAUACAUGUCGAUAAUCGCCUACUGGAGAGACAAACUGCUUCUGAUAUUACGAGUAGGCUCAUGCGUGUCUGGAUCCUUUCAGUGCAGGCGUGGAGUUAAUUAGGACAAAAUUUAGCUAGCCAACAUCGCAGUUACUCUUCCUGAUGGUGUUGUGCAAUAAUACAUCGCCUAUAUUUUGGUCGACAUGAAUGAAUAUGCAGCCAUAGAUCGGUAAUGAAUGUCUGAACUUUGAUUUCAGUGGUCGAUCACCCUGAUUGAAUAACCCAAGUCAGUUGAUUCACAACUGCGUGCAUGAUGACAGAGAACACAUAACUUGGUUUCGGUAAUUGUGCCAACUUCCCCUUUACGCUCUUUGCCACAUGAUUGGACGAUGUCUACAUGAUGUGCUGUGUUGAGCAGUGAGUCUAACCAAUGGUGAACCCACAUGCCAACAACCUUCUACUCGAGGGAGAAAUUGCUUCCCAUCUAGAAGCUGUAUCUCGUUCGGAUGUUUUCACUGCAGACGUGCAGUUCCAUAAAAUUCAGUUGAGAUCACAUCUUCGUGUGCAGUUUCAGACUUGCUGUUGUCCAGCCACAACUGAAUAACCAACCAGAAAACCUUUAUGAAACAAGCAAAAGCAGGGCCUGAUACCAUUGAGCAACUGAUUAUUGUGGUUUGAAGUUUUAAUCCGCUGGUCGUUAUUUUCUAUCCUCGUCCUUUAUCGGAAAAAACCCUUUUAUCUCAUGGCAUGCCACAUAAAGAUUGCACACAUGUUUCUUAAUGAAGUUUUGUAUGGAGAAAGAGUGUUCCAGGAUUCCCCGAGAAAAUGUGAAAGAAAUCUUUUGGAGGAAAAAUCUUGAGGGUCAGUGCGUACGAUGUAUUAGUCGUCACGAAAGCUGAUCAUGGCAAAGGUUGGCGAUAUGUAGUUUCUUGAAAGGGACGAACUCAAUUUACUGAACAGUAUAAAGGGGUUGCAACUUGCAACUGGAGAUGAGCAUGCAAGCUCCAGGUGAUACAGGUUAUACAGCUGAAUAACCAACCAACCUUCCUUUUUGCGACAUGCAAGCAGGUUAUACAGCCAUACAUUACUGACCCCAAUUAAUCGAGAGAAAUGCGUAGGUGAUACAGACUGCAGUAGUUCUGGUAGAGAAAAUAUGCUUGCUUGAAUGUUACCGAGGACAGCAGUAGGUAGCAUAGCAGUCAGUCACAGGGGACUGCACUCCAGACAUGCAUGUCUAAAUAUAGCUCAACCAAACAGCUGCCAACUUUUGCAACAGAGAAUUAAAAACACAUCUACUACUAAUGUCUGUUCUAACUCAAGCAACCCAGCAAGACGGGGGAGGCUGGCGACAGAUUUAGGAAGAAAAAAAAUACUAGCUCACACUACGGAUAAAUCACCUUGAGUACAUGUGAUGCGCUCAACAGAGUCACUUUUGGAACCAAAUGCUGAUGGCCGGCCAGUUGAGUUGCAGACUUUGCAGUAAGUAGCAGGACUGGAUUCUCCUGAUGCAUUAGCAUUAGCAUUACUACUUGGUCAAGAUGGGUGAGUAAAAAUCACCAUCAUUUGAGUUACCAGGAUUAAGGUGGCUAGUUAUUGGUGGUCACUCUCUCAUUCUUCUGGUCUCCGUUCUUCGCCCGAGAUUCUUUUUGCGACGACCUCUUCCCACUCCUUGUCGUCCUUAAACAUGUAACGUUCAAGGGCUCUGCUGACACAGAUUCUGCACUUGGGGAUCAAGUUGGUUGCUUUUUCAAUGGCGCACUCCAGAGCCUUCACCCUGCCUGGAGCUGCUCCGUAACAAUCGAAUUCGACCUCGAGGUGUGCAAGGCCUGGAAGAUGCUCGACACCCAAGUCUUCAAAAAAGUCGGACGCCACAAACAUUGGGUUCAAAUGAAGACGGAGACAACGGAGUGCUUGCAUAGCACCUGGUGCAAAUGUUAGCCGCAGUCCACCCGUUGGUUUCACUUCAACAGCAGAACGGAAGAGUGCAUAGCGGAAGUAGAAGACCUUUAGCAGUUUGAAUCCAUCACUAGCGAUGGUCAGCUUUUCAUUAACGGCAACUCUUCUUAUGCUAAGCCCCAGAUUGGCCAGAGAAGGCAUGCUCAUGACAACUUGGAGAUCCUCCUUAUCAAUUCCAUGACCGUUAUGCGUAGUUUCAUGAGAUUCUGGAGGGAGGUAAUUCCCCUGGGAACCAUUCUAAUACCUGACUCAAUUUUAAGAACUUGGAGGCACGGGUAUGUGCAGCAUGGGUUACAGAACAGACGCUCAGCUAUGUCUCCACCAGCACGAAGAUAACGAAGGUUGCAUUUGACCAACUCAUUUACUUCAUCUGCAAAUCUCACUGGGUCGUCGGUUUCCUCGAAGCCUAACUCCUCCAAGGCCUGCAGACUCCGAAACCCACUCGCAUGUAAUUGUGUGAAAUUGCUGACAAAUAGGUGCACCAAUUUCCGCAACUGCGCCACGGUUGAUGGCAGACUUGGAAGUGAAUAACAGCAUCUCAAAUCCAGAGUCUCCAAGUGCUGCAGCUUUCCAAUUUCACAAGGAAGCUCAGUAAUCAUAGAACGACCAAUUCUCAAAUACCUCAGCUGACGUAAACUUCCUAUGUGUUUCACAUGCUUGUUUUCCAACCAUUCACAUACUCCAAGAUCCAACACCCGCAAAGCAUGGAAGUCCACAAGAUGGGGUAUCUGCUCAACCUGCCAAAACGUAGUCAGUGAGCGAACAUGUAUCUUGGUUUCUGUAAUCGCACAGACUGCACCAUUAUGCUCUUUGCCACUAACUUGCACGGACAGACGUCGAAUCUUGUUUGGAAAUGAAUUGCAUACACGUCCAUUUAAAACAGUGGCAAAAUUCUCUUCAUCUGAUAAAGAUAUGAUCAAGUCAAGCACCAUAUCAUGGACUCGACAAUAUUUCACAGUACCAUCAUCGUCAAUAUCAAUUGGCUGGAUCAUAUUUCUAUUAACAAGUUCAUUAAUACAGUUCUCUGCCACAUCAUCCAAACGCCCCCAUCGUCUAUCAAGGAAUCCUUCGGCCAUCCAUUUCCAUUUCAGUUCUUUACACUUGAUCUUGUAGUAGAAGGGGAGCCUUGGCGCAGUGGUAAAGCUGCUGCCUUGUGACCAUGAGGUCAUGGGUUCAAGUCCUGGAAACAGCCUCUUACAGAAAUGUAGGGAAAGGCUGCGUACUAUAGACCCAAAGUGGUCGGACCCUUCCCUGGACCCUGCGCAAGCGGGAGCUACAUGCACCAGGUUGCCCUUUACACUUGAUCUUGUAGUCCUCUGGAUAUAUACACAAAUACAGUAAACAAGUCUUCAUGUGGUGUGGAAGGUCCCAGUAACUAAGUAACAAUAUAUCUUUCAUCGCUUUUAAGUUCCCAUCAUUUUCAAGUAAAGAACCAACACCGAUGGAAUCUUGCAGUCUCUCCCAUUCAUCCUUGUUGUGUUUUUUAUUGGCAAGCAAACUUGCAAAUGUAAUUAUGGCCAGUGGUACACCACCAUAUUUUUCUAAGAUCCUAUUAGAAACAUCUUUCAGUUCAGCAGGACAUGAAUGAUCUGUGCUAAAAAUUCUCUUCAAGAACAAUCUUUCAGAAUCAACGUCACCUAGAGGUUCCAUUUGAUAGGGUUGACCACCACAGCUGUAACAACAUAGAUUAGCAACGCCGAUAAUGCGUGUAGUAGCAAUUAUUCUGCUGCCAUUAUUAUUCUCAGGAAAUGCUGACUUGAUCAGUUUCCAGUGUUCUUCUUUCCAUACGUCAUCAAUAACAAUUAAGUACCUGCAUUCAAUGUGUAAGUCGUUGAGCAUUUCGUAGCUGUGAUCAAGGUUUUGGUUACCAGUUGAAAUUUCAAGAUUUCCCAUGGUUACCACGUAUUUCCGUGCCCCUCGGUAAAUCGUCAUACCGAGCAAAAAAUACCAUUUUUUUGAAAUUUUUGAAUUUAAACACUCGAUUUACAGUAAGGUAUGUAGGGUCUAAUUAAUGCAAUGAAAGUUGGUUAUGGCAUGUUGGUAGCAACCUAGUUCCUAUUUUGAGAGGUCUCUGGUUUGAAUAUUCAUUCAUUUUCUUAUUUGAAUUCAAAAUUCAACUAUAAAAUUCGCUCGAAAUAUUCUCGGUAUUUGUCGGUAUUUCUCGGUAACAGUGAUAACCACAUUUAUCAGUCCCCCUCGGUAAAAUUACCUCAUUCGGUAACCAAAACCUUGGCUGUGAUGACUUGCGCUAGCAACUAAUUUGAUAUUCGUAAUGAAUAUUUUCUACUUAAUUUUCGAGUACCUUCUGUUGCAUCAAUCAAACUAGUACUUCGGUUAUAAACAGUUAAGGCUAAACAUGAAAACUACUACAAAAAGAGCCAUUAAUUCGAUCUAGUAUGGUUAUUUAAAAAAAAAGCAGUUCUUCCAUGUGGGCUAAGUAUAGCAGGGAUUAAUCAACGCUAAGGUACGGGGGAAUAAAUACAGAGUAUAUACAAAACAAACAAUGUAGGUGUACCUCUUUCCGGUCAAGAUUUGUGCAGUUUUACGAAUUAGUCUGUCUAUGUUCCAACCCUCUGACUGACAUUCAUUGUCAUCUAUUUGAGAUAACAUAUCCUUCAAGAGCUUAUGUAGAUCAAGAGUGCGUGACACCGAUACAGAAGCUCGACACUGGAAGUCUUCUCCUAGUCCAAUCUUGCGAUACACCUCCAUGGCCAGGGUCGUCUUCCCCAACCCUCCGGACCCGACAAUCGGCACCACUUUCAGCUCCAUACUCUCAUCCAUCAAUAAAGCAGUAACUUGCUUCACUCGGUCGUCCAUUGCCACCAAAUCCUUGACCUCCUCGUGAAGCGAGGUUAGCCGUGGGUCAAUCUCCACCGUCUUCGUUGCACUGUAACAACUCUCAUCAAGCUUGUACCUAGCAUCAUUUUUACAGUAAAAACUUAAUUAAGCUCAUGUUGCAUCAUCCAGAAAUACAUACAAGUGCAAGAGUUAAGAUCCUCGACAAGAACAGCAAAAAAAAGUGCCAGAGUUAGGAAAAAUGUAGUACCUGUCACGACGCUCACUUUCCUCCAUGACGCGAGCCUUGAGCUCCUUGAUCUGGGUGGCGAUGUCAUGGCGCGUCCACAGAGUCUUGAGCCGGCGCGCCGUCCUCUUCAUGAACUUUCGUUUGGCAUCUCCGCUUCCAAGACGGUCCAUGAAGUGGUCGAUGCAGUCUUCCAUGUCGUAGCUGAGGUCACGCACGCUGUCUCUCCAGCCCCUGGCCAGGCCGUCGAGCCUCCCCUUCAUUUCCGCCAGCUUCUCGAGCAGGACCUGCAUCCUGCCGAGCUCGCGCUUGAGGAACUCGAUCUUCUUGCGGACCGCCUUGAGCAGCUUGUACUCGUCGCCGAGAAGCGCGGUGAGCUUGCCGAGGAGGGAGCCCAUCGCCCCCGUCCCGGCGCUCACCCCCGCCAUCUCCCCCGGCUGCCUCCGCCAAGAUCUGAGGGCGUUCUCUCUAGCUCUCGUCUCUGUUCUUUGAUGAAGAAGGUGGGCUAAUGAACUGAUUAGGAAGAGACGAAGAAGCCUGUGAACAGGUGGUAUGGUUGGUGUCUGGUGGUGGAGGAAGAGGAGCAAUGGCGCUGGGCACCAAUAAUGGAGCACACUUGUGCAGCGCUGCCGGGGAAAGAGAGAGGGGGGCUGGAGACAGUGUCUGUGAAGGCACGUGACGAUGGGACUUGUCAAAAGCUAGCACCUUGCUAAACAAGCUAGCUGCUGCUUUGUCAAAAGCUAGAUGCUGCACGAUGCACUGUGUGGUCGAGAAUACCGACGAAGGUGGUGAGUGCCCACACAUAGACCAUUUGAUGUUCAAGGGUGUGUUUGGUUGUAGAACCAAGGGAAACUGAAUGAAAUGGUUUCAUUCUAUUGGAAUGGAAUGGUUCUGUCUUAGUGUUCAGUAGAGCUAAUGACAUGAAACGGUCUUAGCCUUUGGCUAAAAGAAUAGGAUACGAUGCAUGUCACGAAGAAUUAUUAUCUGCAAGUGCUAGUACGGUGAUGAACACCAUUUGGCAAUUAUUAAAUUCCUAUCAACUAGUACUGGUACAGCAUCAACAACGGCGCAUCAACUAGUACUCCCUCCGUCCGAAAACACUUGUCAUCAAAAUAGAUAAAAAAAGAUGUAUCUAGAACUAAAAUAUGUUUAGAUACAUCUCCUUUUAUUCAUUUUAAUGACAAGUACUUCCGGACGGAGGGAGUAAUAAUUAGUACUUCCUCCGUUCCUAAAUAUAAGUCUUUGCAGAGAUUCCACUAUGGACUACAUACGGAGCAAAAUGAGUGAAUCUACACUCAAGAAUGCAUCUAUAUACAUCAGUAUGUGGUUCAUAGUAGAAUCUCUACAAAGACUUAUAUUUAGGAACGGGGGGAGUAUCAAGCAGGGUGGAAGGGAAAUAGAUUUCUUCCAUCACCGGCUAGGUGAAAAUCGCUCCAACCGAGUGGUGUCAGGCACCAACAGCGGUGAGUGGAUGUCGUCCUGCUCGUGCUCUGCUUUGCUCGUCGUUGGAUUUGUGCGAUACACCUAAUAUAGAGAGGAGAGGUGCGGGAGGGAGGCGACGCUGAGGGGGAGAGGCGCACGAGAGAGGUGCUUCCGCGUGGUCCGCUCCUUUUCAAUGACAGAAACCAAACACACCUCAAGUAGGCGCGUGAUGGGUGGGUCGUUGAUUUCGCGCACCGACGGUUUCACACCAUAUUGAAGCAUCUCGGAGCAUCAAUUUUGUUUUCGAAACUGCUACCCAGACAACAGCAAAAAUGCUAUUUUACAGGGGCAAUACAUGCUUCUUUGAACUAACUANNNNNNNNNNNNNNNNNNNNNNNNNNNNNNNNNNNNNNNNNNNNNNNNNNNNNNNNNNNNNNNNNNNNNNNNNNNNNNNNNNNNNNNNNNNNNNNNNNNNNNNNNNNNNNNNNNNNNNNNNNNNNNNNNNNNNNNNNNNNNNNNNNNNNNNNNNNNNNNNNNNNNNNNNNNNNNNNNNNNNNNNNNNNNNNNNNNNNNNNNNNNNNNNNNNNNNNNNNNNNNNNNNNNNNNNNNNNNNNNNNNNNNNNNNNNNNNNNNNNNNNNNNNNNNNNNNNNNNNNNNNNNNNNNNNNNNNNNNNNNNNNNNNNNNNNNNNNNACCAACUGGAUCCACCCCCGUAAAACCCCGUAGUGACUCCGUGCGUGUAGCAUUACUGAGACAACAGUGCUGCCUGAUGUAUGCACGACAUGCUAAUCUAGGCGCUGGUGCCCUUCUCGAUCAUGUGCAUGUCCGACUGGAUUUAAGUAUCGUGCAUGAAUCGUGUGUAUUGUGUCGUGUGUAUAGCACUGCUGUUUUGUUUUCCCCCAUACAUCUAUAAAUGUGAUUCUAUUGUGAAAAUCUGCAUGCCUUCAGAACAAAAAUCAAUGUUUUUUGUCAAAAAAAAUGAAUUUACCGUUUAUCCGAGAUCAUGUGAGCCCGAGCUCACAAUAGCACUUUACAAAGAAGACAUGAGUAUAUGGAUUUGAAUCCUAGUUUUUUUCUGAAAAAAGAAAGAAUCCUAGUAUUUUUUAGAUCGUUUGAUUCGUGGGAAAAAGAACAUGACCAGGAGCUUCCUUUUUUCUCUCUACUCCUUUUUAUAUUUCUUUUUUAUAUUUUAGUAGUAAUUUUAUUUUUUGUUCCUUUUCAAUUUCUUGUUUUCUUUCAUAAAAAUCGUGUAAUUUCAUAUAUAAUCCAUUUAUGUUACUUCCCAAAUAUGUUUAUGUAAUAUUUUGUUUCACAUGCCUAUAUAAUUAGGGCAUCUUCAACGACGACCCGCAAAUUUUCUCUCGCAUCCGUUCGCGCACAGGGGGGUUCAGUUCGCGGACAUGGAUGCGGGAGGCCGCUAUCCAACCAUAGCCGCACACAUUUCAAACACUUUUUCAACAAACCGGAUGAAAUUCAUGCAAACACGGGCAAAAUUCAUAUAAACCUGACAAAUUUCAUACAAACCGAACGAAAACGUUUACAUUUUGGACAUAUUUUAACUAAAAAGGUAAAACUAUGUGCACGUACGGUCGAGCGGAGCUCCAAUCCCACAACAUGGAUACACUACACUACUCUACGGCCGACAGACCCAUGUCCAGCAACCCGCUCAUGGACUGCCGUGAGCCCCGAAGGUAUAUGCUUCAGAGUAAAGGGCGGCUCGCUUACCCAAAACUCAUCGGAGUGGGUCCACCGGCUGAUGCUUCAGCCGGAGGGGAAGGGGGGCGCCUCCGCUUCCGUGUAGUCCAGGCGGGGUUCAACGAUGGUCUGCCCUAAAGAACAUGGAAAGUCACUUACUGUGCAAGCUAGCGAUGCGCCGGGGUAACCUUCCUGGGACCCAAGCAACGGCGGACUCCCAUGUUCUACUUUCCCUCGAUGUCGGUGGCGGACACAGACGCGUUGGCCAUAGACUCGUCGAUUUCCGUGCAUCUGGUUUCUUUCUCUGUCAGCUGAGCGUGGUCACGCGCGCCUUAACGGCAGAUGGUGUAACCGCAGGCAUGGGAGGCGCGGUACGAUGCGGCGGCGUCCACAGCAGCGAUGAUGCACGUGCUGUGAUGCUCCCCGACGGGUUGUCCUGCAUCAACUCGCCACUCCUCCACGAGCUGGCUUGGAGCGAUGAGUUGUUGAACCACGCGCCAACUUGGAGCGGCAACGUGCUCUGUCCGGCUAGGCGGGGGAGGUGGAAUAGUGAGCUGCCUCGCUCAUAUUCAGCCGGCUCAGUUAGUCACUCAUCCGGCUUUUAUGCUGGAGAACUACUCUUCCUGCUUGUUGGUUGCCAUUGAAAGGGUGAAGAAAAUGAUGAAGGAGGAGAUGGACAGCGGCUGAGUGGUGCGAUUCUUGCCUGGCAUCUGGCCUCGUUUAAAUAGAGGACGGAUGGGAGGAGUUUGCCCGGUGUUGCGUCUCCAGUUCACCGACGUGGGACACUCGGCUCCGAUUCCAUUCCAGUUCGCCAAAUCCCCAGAGGCCUACUGUCUCCAGUUCGCUCCACCUCCUCUUCUCCCCGGACAACAUGGGCGAGGUGACGAGGUCAACGGCUGGUUCCGCUCCAAGUCCGUCGCCAGCCUUGAGGACCUCGAGGUCACCAACCUUCAGAGGAGAAACCACUACCCGCUUCGCUAGAGAGGCAAUUUUUUUUUCAGAUGAGCUUUUUUUUAGAAGAUUUUCAUACGAGCUGGUGAGGGAAAUGGUGUGUACGUGCUUACGAUCGCACGAACGGGUUUGUACUGGGCCUUGGAUGCCUUGUGCCUCGUCCAUUUGGGAUGGCCCUGGGCUGUGUUGUGCCGCAGCCUGCCGGCCGUUUACUCUCUCCCUCCAUCCCUCCCUCCCCCUCUCUCUCUCUCGGUUCCCAAAUCCCCCACAGCCAACCACCGGCAAUGGAGGACGCGGCGAUGGCCAUCCCCGAACUGCACACUCACGACAGGCAUGGACCCGUCUGUGUCGACGGCCUACUGGAUCCGCCGGCAGGUGGCGGUAACAUGGACCCUCGUAGACCGAAAGCGAAAGCGGUUGUUUAACGCGGUUGAUGUAGUCAAACGUCUUCUCGUUGCGACCGAUCAAGUACCGAACAUACGACGCCUCCGAGUUCUGCACACGUUCAGUACGAUGACGUCCCUCAAGCUCUUGAUCCAGCAGAGGGUCGAAGGAGUAGAUUAGUUCCGUCAGCACGCGGGCGUGGUGACCGUAAUGGUUAUGUGAUCCGCGCAGGGCUUCGCCUAAGCACUGCGAGAAUAUGGAGAGAGGCGCAAACUGUGGAGGGGGGCGCAGCAACGGCUUCGAACAAUUGAUGUGUGUUCUAGGGGCGCCCCCCUCCCCCCGUAUAUAAAGGAGGGAGGGAGAGGAGGCCGGCCCGAGGCGCGCCCGAAGUAGGAGGAGUCCUACUUGGGGUCCUAGUAGGAUUCGCCCCACCCCCCUCCUUUUACCGGAGGGGGAAAGUGUUGGGGAACGUUGCAGAAAAUAAAAAAAAUUCUACGGUUUCACCAAGAUCAAUCUAUGAGUUCAUCUAGCAACGAGAGAGAGGAGUGCAUCUACAUAUCCUUGUAGAUCGAGCAGAAGCGUUCAAGAGAACAGGGUUGAGGGAGUCGUACUCGUCGUGAUCCAAAUCACCGGAGAUCCUAGCGCCGAACGGACGACACCUCCGCGUUCAACACACGUACUGUCAGGGAGACGUCUCCUCCUUCUUGAUCCAGCAAGGGGGAAGGAGAGGUUGAUGAAGAUCCAGCAGCACGACGGCGUGGUGGUGGAUGCAGCAGGGAUCCUGGCAGGGCUUCGCCAAGCGUCUGCGGGAGGGAGAGGUGUAGCAAGGGGGAAGGGAGGCGCCAAGUGCAAGGGUGCGGCUGCCCUCCCUCCCCCCUCUAUAUAUAGGGUCCCCAGGGGGGCGCCGGCCCUAGGAGAUGGGAUCUCCUAGGGGGGGCGGCGGCCAAGGGGGGUGCCUUGCCCCCCAAGGCAAGUGGAGGCGCCCCCUCCCCUAGGGUUCCCAACCCUAGGCCCAAGGGGGGGGGCGCACCAGCCCACCAGGGGCUGGUUCCCCUCCCACUUCAGCCCAUGGGGCCCUCCGGGAUAGGUGGCCCCACCCGGUGGACCCCCGGGACCCUUCCGGUGGUCCCGGUACAAUACCGGUGACCCACGAAACUUUCCCGAUGGCCGAAACUCGACUUCCCAUAUAUAAUUAUUUACUUCCGGACUAUUCUGGAACUCCUCGUGACGUCCGGUAUCUCAUCCGGGACUGCGAACAACUUUCGGUUUAUUGCAUACUAAUAUCUCUACAACCCUAGCGUCACCGAACCUUAAGUGUAUAGACCCUACGGGUUCGGGAGACACGUAGACAUGACCGAGACGGCUCUCCGGUCAAUAACCAACAGCGGGAUCUGGAUACCCAUGUUGGCUCCCGCAUGCUCCUCGAUGAUCUCAUCGGAUGAACCACGAUGUCGAGGAUUCAAGCAACCCCGUAUACAAUUCCCUUUGUCAAUCGGUAUGUUACUUGCCUGAGAUUCGAUCGUCGGUAUCCCAAUACCUCGUUCAAUCUCGUUACCGGCAAGUCACUUUACUCGUACCGUAAUGCAUGAUCCCGUGACCAGACACUUGGUCACUUUGAGCUCAUUAUGAUGAUGCAUUACCGAGUGGGCCCAGAGAUACCUCUCUGUCAUAUGGAGUGACAAAUCCCGGUCUCGAUCCGUGUCAACCCAACAGACACUUUCGGAGAUACCCGUAGUAUACCUUUAUAGUCACCCAGUUAUGUUGUGACGUUUGGUACACCCAAAGCACUCCUACGGUAUCUGGGAGUUACACGAUCUUAUGGUCUAAGGAAAAGAUACUUGACAUUGGAAAAGCUCUAGCAAACGAACUACACGAUCUUGUGCUAUGCUUAGGAUUGGGUCUUGUCCAUCACAUCAUUCUCCCAAUGAUGUGAUCCCGUUAGCAAUGACAUCCAAUGUCCAUAGUCAGGAAACCAUGACUAUCCGUUGAUCAACGGGCUAGUCAUCUAGAGGCUCACUAGGGACAUGUUGUGGUCUAUGUAUUCACACAUGUAUUACGAUUUCCGGAUAACACAAUUAUAGCAUGAAUAAAAAGACAAUUAUCAUGAACAAGGAAAUAUAAUAAUAAUCCUUUUAUUAUUGCCUCUAGGGCAUAUUUCCAACAGUCUCCCACUUGCACUAGAGUCAAUAAUCUAGUUACAUUGUGAUGAAUCAAACACCCAUAGAGUUCUGAUGUUGAUCAUGUUUUGCUCGCAGAAGAGGUUUAGUCAACGGAUCUGCGACAUUCAGAUCCGUAUGUACUUUGCAAAUAUCUAUGUCUCCAUCUUGAACAUUUUCACGGAUGGAGUUGAAAUGACGCUUGAUGUGCCUGGUCUUCUUGUGAAACCUGGGCUCCUUGGCAAGGGCAAUAGCUCCAGUGUUGUCACAGAAGAGAGUGAUUGGCCCCGACGCAUUGGGUAUGACUCCUAGGUCGGUGAUGAACUCCUUCAUCCAUAUUGCUUCAUGCGCUGCCUCUGAGGCUGCCAUGUACCCCGCUUCACAUGUAGACCCCGCCACGACGCUCUGCUUGCAACUGCACCAGCUGACUGCUCCACGAUUCAACAUAUACACGUAUCCGGUUUGUGACUUAGAGUCAUCCAGAUCUGUGUCGAAGCUAUCAUCGACGUAACCCUUUACGACGAGCUCUUCGUCACCUCCAUAAACGAGAAACAUAUCCUUAGUCCUUUUUAGGUACUUCAGGAUAUUCUUGACCGCUGUCCAGUGUUCCUUGCCGGGAUUACUUUGGUACUUUCCUACCAAACUUACGGCAAGGCUUACAUCAGGUCUGGUACACUGCAUGGCAUACAUAAUAGAUCCUAUGGUUGAGGCAUAGGGGAUGACACUCAUCUCUUCUAUAUCUUCUGCCGUGGUCGGGCAUUGAGCCGAGCUCAAUCUCACACCUUGCAAUAUAGGCAAGAACCUUUUCUUGGACUGAUCCAUAUUGAACUUCUUCAAUAUCUUAUCAAGGUAUGUGCUUUGUGAAAGACCUAUGAGGCGUCUCGAUCUAUCCCUAUAGAUUUUGAUGCCUAAUAUAUAAGCAGCUUCUCCAAGGUCCUUCAUUGAAAAACACUUGUUCAAGUAGGCCUUAAUGAUGUCCAAAAGUUCUAUAUCAUUUCCCAUCAAAAGUAUGUCAUCUACAUAUAAUAUGAGAAAUGCUACAGAGCUCCCACUCACUUUCUUGUAAACGCAGGUUUCUUCAUAAGUCUGUAUAAACCCAAAUGCUUUGAUCAUCUCAUCAAAGCGAAUGUUCCAACUCCGAGAUACUUGCACCAGCCCAGAAAUGGAUCGCUGGAGCUUGCAUACCUUGUUAGCAUUCUUAGGUUCGAUAAAACCUUCCGGCUGCAUCAUAUACAGUUCUUCCUUAAGAUAGCCGUUAAGGAAUGCCGUUUUGACGUCCAUCUGCCAUAUCUCAUAAUCAUAGUAUGCGGCAAUUGCUAACAUGAUUCAGACGGACUUCAGCUUCGCUACGGGAGAGAAAGUCUCAUCAUAGUCAACCCCUUGAACUUGCCGAUAACCCUCAGCGACAAGUCGAGCUUUAUAGAUGGUAACAUUACCAUCCGCGUCCGUCUUCUUCUUAAAGAUCCAUUUGUUUUCUAUCGCUCGCCGAUCAUCGGGCAAGUCUGUCAAAGUCCAUACUUUGUUUUCAUACAUGGAUCCAAUCUCGGAUUGCAUGGCUUCAAGCCAUUUGUUGGAAUCUGGGCCCGCCAUUGCUUCUUCAUAGUUCAAAGGUUCACCAUUGUCUAACAACAUGAUUUCCGGGACAGGGUUGCCAUACCACUCUGGUGUGGAAGGUGUCCUUGUGGACCUACGAAGUUCAGUAGCAACUUGAUCUGAAGUACCUUGAUCAUCAUCAUUAAUUUUCUUUCCAGUCGGUGUAGGCACCACAGGAACAUUUUCCUGAGCUGCACUACUUUUCGUUUCAAGAGGUAGUACUUCAUCGAGUUCUACUUUCCUCCCACUUACUCCUUUUGAGAGAAACUCUUUCUCCAGAAAGGAUCCGUUCUUGGCAACAAAGAUCUUGCCUUCGAAUCUAAGGUAGAAGGUAUACCCAAUGGUUUCUUUGGGGUAUCCUAUGAAGACGCAUUUUUCCGACUUGGGUUCGAGCUUUUCAGGUUGAAAUUUCUUGACAUAAGCAUCGCAUCCCCAAACUUUUAGAAAUGACAGCUUAGGUUUCUUCCCAAACCAUAAUUCAUACGGUGUCGUCUCAACGGAUUUAGACGGUGCCCUAUUUAAAGUGAAUGUAGUUGUCUCUAGAGCGUAUCCCCAAAAAGAUAGCGGUAAAUCGGUAAGAAACAUCAUAGAUCGCACCAUAUCCAAUAAAGUGCGAUUACGACGUUCGGACACACCGUUACGCUGAGGUGUUCCAGGCGGCGUGAGUUGUGAAACGAUUCCACAUUUCCUUAAGUGCGUACCAAAUUCGUGACUUAAAUAUUCUCCUCCACGAUCUGAUCGUAAGAACUUUAUUUUUCGGUCACGUUGAUUCUCUACCUCAUUCUGAAAUUCCUUGAACUUUUCAAAGGUCUCAGACUUAUGUUUCAUCAAGUAAACAUACCCAUAUCUACUUAAGUCAUCAGUGAGAGUGAGAACAUAACGAUAUCCUACGCGAGCCUCAACGCUCAUUGGACCGCAUACAUCAGUAUGUAUGAUUUCCAAUAAGUUGGUUGCUCGCUCCAUUGUUCCGGAGAACGGAGUCUUGGUCAUUUUUCCCAUGAGGCAUGGUUCGCAUGUGUCAAAUGAUUCAUAAUCGAGAGACUCUAAAAGUCCAUCAGCAUGGAGCUUCUUCAUGCGCUUGACACCAAUGUGACCAAGGCGGCAGUGCCACAAGUAUGUGGGACUAUCGUUAUCAACCUUACAUCUUUUUAUAUUCACACUAUAAAUAUGUGUAACAUUACGUUUGAGAUUCAUAAGAAUAAACCAUUGACCAUCGGGGCAUGACCAUAAAACAUAUCUCUCAUAUAAAUAGAACAAUCAUUAUUCUCGGAUUUCAAUGAGUAGCCAUCUCGUAUUAAACGAGAUCCGGAUACAAUAUUCAUGCUUAAAGCUGACACUAAAUAACAAUUAUUGAGGUUUAUAACUAAUCUCGUGGGUAAAUGUAGAGGUAGCGUGCCGACGGCGAUUACAUCGACCUUGGAGCCAUAACCGACGCGCAUCGUCACCUUGUCCUUCGCCAGUCUCUGCUUAUUCCGCAGCUCCUGCUUUGAGUUACAAAUAUGAGCAACGGCACCAGUAUCAAAUACCCAGGAGUUACUACGAGUACUGAUAAGGUACACAUCAAUUACAUGUAUAUCACAUAUACCUUUAGUGUUGCCGGCCUUCUUGUCCGCUAAGUAUUUGGGGCAGUUCCGCUUCCAGUGACCCUUCCCUUUGCAAUAAAAGCACUCAGUCUCAGGCUUGGGUCCAUUCUUUGACUUCUUCCCGGCAACUGGCUUACCGGGCGCGGCAACAUCCUUGCCGUCCUUCUUGAAGUUCUUCUUACCCUUGCCCUUCUUAAACUUAGUGGUUUUAUUGACCAUCAACACUUGAUGUUCCUUCUUGAUUUCUACCUCUGCUGACUUCAGCAUUGAAAAUACUUCAGGAAUAGUUUUUACCAUCCCCUGCAUAUUGUAGUUCAUCACAAAGUUCUUGUAGCUCGGUGGGAGCGACUGAAGGAUUCUGUCAAUGACCGCCUCGUCCGGGAGGUUAAUGUCCAGCUGGGACAGGCGGUUGUGCAACUCAGACAUUUUGAGUAUGUGCUCACUGUCAGAACUAUUUUCCUCCAUCUUACAACUAUAGAACUUGUCGGAGACUUCAUAUCUCUCGACCCGAGCAUGAGCUUGGAAAACCAUUUUCAGCUCCUCGAAUAUCUCAUAUGCUCCAUGUUGCUCAAAACGCUUUUGGAGCCCCGGUUCUAAGCUGUAAAGCAUGCCACACUGAACGAGGGAGUAAUCAUCAGCACGUGACUGCCAAGCGUUCAUAACGUCUUGGUUCUCUGAGAUGGGUGCUUCACCUAGCGGUCCUUCUAGGACAUAUGCUUUCUUGGCAGCUAUGAUGAUGAUCCUCAGGUUCCGGACCCAGUCCGUAUAGUUGCUGCCAUCAUCUUUCAGCUUGGUUUUCUCUAGGAACGCGUUGAAGUUCAUGUUGACAUGAGCGUUGGCCAUUUGAUCUACAAGACAUUUUUUGGCAAAGAUUUUAGACUAAGUUCAUGAUAAUUAAGUUCAGCUAAUCAAAUUAUUUAAUGAACUCCCACUCAGAUUAGACAUCCCUCUAGUCAUCUAAGUGUUACAUGAUCCGAGUCGACUAGGCAGUGUCCGAUCAUCACGUGAGACGGACUAGUCAUCAUCGGUGAACAUCUCCAUGUUGAUCGUAUCUUCCAUACGACUCAUGUUCGACCUUUCGGUCUCUGUGUUCCGAGGCCAUGUCUGUACAUGCUAGGCUCGUCAAGUUAACCUAAGUAUUUUGCAUGUGUAAAUCUGCCUUACACCCGUUGUAUGUGAACGUUAGAAUCUAUCACACCCGAUCAUCACGAGGUGCUUCGAAACAACGAACUGUCACAACGGCGCACAGUUAGGGGGAACACUUUCUUGAAAUUAUUAUGAGGGAUCAUCUUAUUUACUACCGUGGUUCUAAAUAAACAAGAUGCAGAAACAUAAUAAACAUCACAUGCAAUUAAAUAGUAGUGACAUGAUAUGGCCAAUAUCAUAUAGCUCCUUUGAUCUCCAUCUUCGGGGCUCCAUGAUCAUCUUCGUCACCGGCAUGACACCAUGAUCUCCAUCAUCAUGAUCUCCAUCAUCGUGUCUCCAUGAAGUUGCUCGCCAACUAUUACUUCUACUACUACGGCUAAUGGUUUAGCAAUAAAGUAAAGUAAUUACAUGGCGUUAAAUCAUUGACACGCAGGUCAUACAAUAAUUAAGACAACUCCUAUGGCUCCUGCCGGUUGUCAUACUCAUUGACAUGCAAGUCGUGAUUCCUAUUACAAGAACAUGAUCUCAUACAUCACAAUAUAUCAUUCAUCAUUCAUCACAACUUUUGGCCAUAUCACAUCACAAAGCAAUUGCUGCAAAAACAAGUUAGACGUCCUCUAAUUGUUGUUGCAUCUUUUACGUGGCUGCAAUAGGGUUCUAGCAAGAAUAUUUUAUUACUUACGAAAAACCACAACGUGAUUUGUCAACUUCUAUUUACCCUUCAUAAGGACCCUUUUCAUCGAAUCCGCUCCAACUAAAGUGGGAGAGACAGACACCCGCUAGCCACCUUAUGCAACUAGUGCAUGUCAGUCGGUGGAACCUGUCUCACGUAAGCGUACGUGUAAGGUCGGUCCGGGCCGCUUCAUCCCACAAUACCGCUGAAGAAAAAUAAGACUAGUAGUGGCAACAAAGUUUACAACAUCUACGCCCACAACAGAUUUGUGUUCUACUCGUGCAAAGAGAACUACGCAUAGACCUAGCUCAUGAUGCAACUGUUGGGAACGUUGCAGAAAAUAAAAAAAAUUCUACGGUUUCACCAAGAUCAAUCUAUGAGUUCAUCUAGCAACGAGAGAGAGGAGUGCAUCUACAUACCCUUGUAGAUCGAGCGGAAGCGUUUAAGAGAACGGGGUUGAGGGAGUCGUACUCGUCGUGAUCCAAAUCACCGGAGAUCCUAGCGCCGAACGGACGGCACCUCCGCGUUCAACACAGGUACGGUCAGGGAGACGCCUCCUCCUUCUUGAUCCAGCAAGGGGGAAGGAGAGGUUGAUGAAGAUCCAGCAGCACGACGACGUGGUGGUGGAUGCAGCAGGGAUCCCGGCAGGGCUUCGCCAAGCGUCUGCGGGAGGGAGAGGUGUAGCAAGGGGGAAGGUAGGCGCCAAGUGCAAGGGUGCGGCUGCCCUCCCCCCUCUAUAUAUAGGGUCCCCAGGGGGGGCGCCGGCCCUAGGAGAUGGGAUCUCCUAGGGGGGCGGCGGCCAAGGGGGGUGCCUUGCCCCCACAAGGCAAGUGGAGGCGCCCCCUCCCCUAGGGUUCCCAACCCUAGGCGCAAGGGGGGCCCAAGGGGGGGCGCACCAGCCCACCAGGGGCUAGUUCCCCUCCCACUUCAGCCCAUGGGGCCCUCCGAGAUAGGUGGCCCCACCCGGUGGACCCCCGGGACCCUUCCGGUGGUCCCGGUACAAUACCGGUGACCCCCGAAACUUUCCCGAUGGCCGAAACUCGACUUCCCAUAUAUAAUUCUUUACUUCCGGACCAUUCCAGAACUCCUCGUGACGUCCGGGAUCCCAUCCGGGACUCCCAACAACUUUCGGUUUGCUGCAUACUAAUAUCUCUACAACCCUAGCGUCACCGAACCUUAAGUGUGUAGACCCUACGGGUUCGGGAGAACGUAGACAUGACCGAGACGGCUCUCCGGUCAAUAACCAACAGCGGGAUCUGGAUACCCAUGUUGGCUCCCGCAUGCUCCUCGAUGAUCUCAUCGGAUGAACCAUGAUGUCGAGGAUUCAAGCAACCCCGUAUACAAUUCCCUUUGUCAAUCGGUAUGUUACUUGCCCGAGAUUCAAUCGUCGGUAUCUCAAUACCUCGUUCAAUCUUGUUACCGCAAGUCACUUUACUCGUACCGUAAUGCAUGAUCCCAUGACCAGACGCUUGGUCACUUUGAGCUCAUUAUGAUGAUGCAUUACCGAGUGGGCCCAGAGAUACCUCUCCAUCAUAUGGAGUGACAAAUCCCAGUAUCGAUCCGUGUCAACCCAACAAACACUUUCGGAGAUACCCGUAGUAUACCUUUAUAGUCACCCAGUUACGUUGUGACGUUUGGUACAGCCAAAGCACUCCUACGGUAUCCGGGAGUUACACGAUCUCAUGGUCUAAGGAAAAGAUACUUGACAUUGGAAAAGCUCUAGCAAACGAACUACACGAUCUUGUGCUAUGCUUAGGAUUGGGUCUUGUCCAUCACAUCAUUCUCCCAAUGAUAUGAUCCCGUUAUCAAUGACAUCCAAUAUCCAUAGUCAGGAAACCAUGACUAUUUGUUGAUCAACGGGCUAAUCAAGUAGAGGCUCACUAGGGACAUGUUGUGGUCUACGUAUUCACACAUGUAUUACGAUUUUCGGUUAACACAAUUAUAGCAUGAAUAAAAAGACAAUUAUCAUGAACAAGAAAAUAUAAUAAUAAUCAUUUUAUUAUUGCCUCUAGGGCAUAUUUCCAACAGAAAGGGGGGGAGAGGGAGAAGGAGAAAGGGAGGGGGCGGCGCCCCCUCCCCUUGUCUAAUUCGGACUGCUCCCUGGUGGGGGGCGCGCCACCCCUUUGUGGGCUAGUGUGCCUCCCUCCUAUGGCCCAUAUGGCCCAUAUCUUUCCCCAGGUGGUUCCGGUAACCCCUCCGGUACUCUAAUAUGUACCCGAUACAUUUCAGAAUCCUUCUAGUGUCCGAAUACUACCUUUCAAUAGAUCAAUCCUUACCUCUCGACCAUUUAGAGACUCCUCGUCAUGUCCGUGAUCUCAUCCGGGACUCCGAACAACCUUCAGUCACUGUCGGGGAUAUACCCCGCAGUAUGACCCGGCCGGAGUCGUAACCCGGCCGGGACUUGGUGAACCGGUGGGUGUUAAACCGGCAGAGAGUCAAGACAGAUGGCUAAAACAGACGGUAAACUGGCUGGUGGUAAACCGGCAGACAAUGUUAAACCGGCAGACAGUGUUAAACCGGCAGAGAAUGUUAAACCGGCAGACAAUGUUAAACCGGCAGACAAUGUUAAACCGGCAGACGUUGAGAAGCCUAGGAAAGGAAGUCAAAAUAGUUUAAGUCUUAAUCCGAGAUGAACUCUACAUGUAACCCGUCCCUCUAACUUAUAUAAGGAGGGGAAGGGCUCCCCAAAAAGGGACAAGCAAGAAACAAUCUCUAGGGCUAGACACAACUAGAGGAGAGCCGGUUUACAACGACUCCCUCGUGAUGAUAAUGAGAUCUAGCCUCAAACAACAUGUAGGGUAUUUACCGGAUGAUGUUUCCCGGGGCCCGAAGCUGUCUAAAUCCUUGUCUUGUGUUGCGUCUCUCGAUUCCGCUCAACCCCUCUCAAGCUACCACAUAGGUGCGUUGGCCUCGCGACUAAGUCCUGACACUAAGGACAUCUGACGUGUUAAUUCCACGACAGUUGGCGCCCACCGUGGGGCUGACGCACGAUGGUGUUGAGUCCUUGGAGAGAUCUCUCCAAGGGAUUGAGAAGUUCACAAAAUUUCGGAUGAGGAAAGAUUCAGCAUGAAAGGAUUCAUAUCAAUUACAAGUUCAUAUGUCAAGAUCAAAGAAGUUUUUAGUGGUAGCAUAUACAAAAUUCAGGUACAAGAGAAGUUAGGUUUCCAUCUAUGUACAGUGUCACAUCGUCUUAAUCCGCCGAGUCCAAGUAUGAGCCGGUCCGGAUCAAAGUCGGCAGAUGAUCAGAUUAAACUUGCAAGUUGUGGCACUUUUGCUCACGAGAAGCAUUGCCGUGAUUUGGGUUCGCUUGCCCCGAGAAAAAAAGGGGGGGAGAGCCGCCAGUGUACAGAAGAUGUUGAUUCAACAAAAAAAGGAGGAAAAGGGGGCUACGACCCGGAGAAGGACUUGGGCCUUGACCCGGAUUCCUCUUCUACCGCUGUGAUCCAUGCCUUGCCAGGCCAGUUUGCCCUGUUCGCUCCGGAUCGCUGGUACCCCGCCCAUGAGUCGCCGCUCCGUUUUGACUCGCCCUCGAGGAGUGGCUAGACUGGUUCUGCCGGGCGCUGUUUCUGCUUACUCCGGGUUAUUGGCAUCCCGUAGAUGAGUCGCCGUUUCGACCCGCCCUCGCUGACCAACAUCGUCAUCAGAGAUUCAUCUCCAUUUCAAGUUGCCUACGUCGACCCGCCGUCAAUUUGAGUUGCUAUCAAAGGCACAUCCGCCCCGGCGGUCGACCAGGUUGUAGCCACUGGCCUUGCUACGCGAGUCGCGUGCUUCUGCUGGUCAGGGUCGCCUCGAUCCGGCCACCAUCGUCUCCGCCAUCCCGUGCGACCCAGCUCACUGCGGCGCCCUGCCGGGUCUCCCACGCCUGAGUCGCCUCAGCCUCCGUGGAACAGCAGUCCCAGUGUUGAAACCGCCGCCGGACCAAGUCCUAGCCUCACCACCGCCCCCGCGGCUGUCUGAGUCACCAUCGCCUUACAAGACGCUGGACUUCCACUGCGGCCUCGAGCCACCGGGUCAACAGCCACCGCCGCCGGCUCCUUCAGCAAGAAUAUGACCGCGGGUCCAGGUCGAUGGCAGUCUCACCUCUGUUGGCGCCGCCUCCUCGCAGCGCCGCUUCUUCUUCUACCUUGAGCUGCCUUGCACAACUCUCUCCUCUCUCUCUAUCUCUCAAGAACACACCACGGGACACACACGCACACACACUUCACCGUGGGAGGAACCAGCUUUGCCUUGUCUCCCGGUGAAAAUCACAAGCACUACAUGUUUUCUCAGCCCUCUCGGCCUCCGUUUUAUUCAAUCAAUGCAAUACUUAUAUACAUCAGCUAGCACGGCCAGGAGCCAACUCCAUGAUCCGUUUCCUAUGCUCACGUUUAGGACGUGUCCAACUACUCCACUAUUACAGCUGCAUGCAACCUCCAUCUGCUACAUACACGUACUAAUUAACUUGACCAAAUCACUCGGCCAUACCUCAACCAACCAUGCACUAACUAACUAGAUAAUCUCCCAGUACAUGCAUGCACCACCGCAGCUUCACGCCACAACGGCAUCUCACCAAGCUGCCGCAUCACACGGCCCUCAGCAUCUUCCAUGCAGAUACAUGACCAUGACAAGAUUAAAACUAACAACCUCGCCUCCAAGUCGGAUUCAUUUUACCUCGCCAAGUCGCCACCAGGUCACCACGGAGCGGCCCCGCUAAAUCGCCGCCGGGUCACCCUUGCAGUGCCCUGCGCCGCCGCGUCGGCCGGCUUUGAGUCGUCACUCGCCGACCGUGCCUUCCGCCGGCCACGCCAGUCUUCCACCUGCUACUGCACCGGUUGGAGCCGCCCCAGCCUCCCUUUGAGUCGCCGCCGUGCGCCUCUCCCCUGCUGCGAGAGCCGCUCCGUUGCUGUGAGUCGCCGGUGCCGUCUCGUUUUUACCCUUGAACCGGAUGGUGCAGCGGUCACCGUCGCCUUGCUCCGGUUCACUGUUUCAGCAGCGCCGCUCCAUCACUCCCGCCAUGGUUCAGCAUGCUGAGCUGACCCGCCAUAGCCACGGUCUUCGCCUCCAUUGUCGAGUGCCGGUGCCUCUGCUCUAAACCGCCACUGUGUUGGAGCACACUGAGCACCACUUCACGGUGCAUUAUGCUGUGCUGAGCCGCGGAGCACUGUUUUGCUGAUUUCAAACCCCGAGGCAUCAAUUCAUCAGCUACUGGUGCUGUGACAUUGUGGUUAAAGGUCAAGGAUAAUUUCAUCAACUACAAGUGCUACCGACAAGUACUAGGUGCUCACGUAGUACUGUUCCUGCAAGUCCUUCUGUACAAAACUGAAGGAAAAAGUCUGUUUCUUGGAGGAGGCUGAGAUGCCCGGCGCCCCUGAGUCGCCGCUUUCAUUGCGAUCGAUCGCCUUGCUCUGCUUUGCGCCGGGCGCCAUCGCCUCACCCCUGAAUCGCAGUCGCCGUCGCCUCACUACUGAGUUGUCGUUUCCUCACCUUUGCCUCUCAAGCUGCGUCAAGCCGCCACACCCCCGAGUCGCCACCGGGUCACCGCUGAGCGGCCUUGCCUUCGCCUUGUGCUGCCCCCUUUGCUGGUGCGCCAAACUACCCCGGCCUUGCGCCACCUCCGCUGCGGCCGCGCAUUGCUGCCGCUCUCCAAGUGGUAUUGCCAGGAAUUAUUUUUGUUUCUCCAACAUCAAAGUAUACGGCCGGGGGUUUGGCUGCCCACUUGUCUGCCGCAUGGACCGGGCGUCAAACCGCCAAAGGCCUAUAGACAGGCAUAUUCUGCCCAUCAUCCCUGCGUUUCAGUAUACAUCAACUCGUCAGGUCACCCGGCAGAUACCCACACAAGUUGUCAAGAUUGAUCAUUCAAAAAGGAGUUCUAUGCAUGUACGUGACAUGCUGCUGCAGAGGAGGAACAUGCACGUCCCAAAAUUUGUGUGCAAGUGAUACCCUGUUGAAAAUGAUACAGCAAUUGCAUGCAACUGCUGAUCAUCAGAUGUUCACAUUAGAUGGGUCAUACCAUCGCCGGUUUGUCUACAGAGUUAUAUCCAGAUUAUCUGUCGUCUGGACAAAUCCAGGUGCUAUCUUCUCUAUAUAUUUUAUUAACACAUAUUUUUUCUAUCAAAAGACAAAUUACUUUGAUUUGUAUAUUUUUAUAUAUACAGGACCAUUAUUCACUAUAAAUGUGGUUUAUACCACGGAUAUGGAGCACGGAUUGAUAAUAUUUUCGCCUGGGGAUAAUCCCGGACAUAUCACAUGAUGAAUAGACGCACACGAGUUGCUGCUCUUGUGGACCGGUUCACAUCAGCUUGCUGGGAUCGCGUCUGCCCGUUGUCAAUGGACGCGCGCAAAUCGCCGCCCCCGAGGCCUGGUCUACAUCAACCCACUGGGCCGCACCUGUCCGGAUGAGCUGUUUAUUGAGUAUGAGCAAGUCACUGCUUGGGUAGCCGGUUUUUCUUCCAACAAAUUGGAGGCAAAUUAUCAUCAACCGCCAUCUGCACUGGAUGGAUCAAUGGACAUGCACACAAAUCGUUGCCACUACAGUUAAGUUAAAUUUCAAACAACCAGUUGGAAAGAACCAUUGGCCGAGUUGCUGCCACGGCUCAUACGACAUCAUUUAUAACCCGCCGCAGUCAUCUCAACCUUCUGUGGAUUUACAUCGCGUUAUCAAACCAAUGAUAUAUACCUUCUGCUAUGGUCAAGUACGGAGAAUCUCAAGACAACUCCUUGAGUCAUCUUAAAACUCGGGGGCUACGAUGAUAUGACUCAGCAAGUCUUGCCAGUUUCAGCAAACUCAAGUGCCCCAGGAUGUUGAAGGGAAAGAUAACCCGGUCCCGGAAGCUACUGUUAUAUUGAUGAAAAUUUAAAAGCAGUCAGAGAAUUUCCGGCUCAAAAAGUAUAUGACAAAAUCCCGGCUCAAUGAAGAAGUUCCGGGUCAUCAGAAAGGAUUCCGGUUUACAAUCCGGUUCAAGGGGAAAUCUAUCUCCCACAAAUCUCUGAAGCUCUCAAUAUCCGGUUUAAAAUCCCGGUUCAAGAAGAAUUUAUCUCUUGCAAAAAGUUAAAGGUUGCCAAAGAGGACCUGCUGCCCUGACGCGCAGUUCAAACAUCGGUAUCCUACCUUAUGGGCUCAUCUUCAUAUGAUUACUUGGGGGAUUCCUGUUCAAACAUAGGUGUAUUCACCAAAGAGAACAUGGCGUUACUACCCUCUUGAUGCGGCUAUCAAGACAAUAUUAUCAUCAGGGGCCAAAGAGAGUUUGUUGCACAACACAACUCAAACAUAGGCACCCGGCGAGCACAGCUCAGAAAUAUAUCACAUGGGGGCUUCUGCUUGCAAAGCGGAGUCCUGUCCAUUAAUCCGGCUAUCACGCCACAAACAGCUUGGGAGCUUCACACCCAGAGGGGCAAAGAGAGUCUGGAUGCUAUGCAUAGCUCAAACAUAGGCACCUAAUGAGCACAUCUCAUCAUGUUACUUGGGGGCUCUUUGUGUCAAAUACCAAGGAGUUUGAAUGGACCCUUGUAGCUGGGUAUUGACCCAUGGCUUGGAAGCCUGAUAUAUUUACCUAAAACCCCGGGUUAACCUGCCUUCAUCAAGUAAGACACUCCUAUCCAGGUAAUCCUGGCAUGAUCGUCUGAACGUUUGACAGUUACUCUCAUUGAGACCCUGAACUUGUCAAAGUUAAAACAGUGAUUGAUUAGUGGAGGUCCAUCUUAAAAGGCUUUGCAAAAAUGGUUUAACUCAGCGGCCUGGCAUCCCAUGAAAAGCCUCGAAUUUGGGUCUGGCAGCCCUUCAAAAGCCUCGACUACACGGUUUUAUUUUCCUUGGUCAACAUUUUCUCUCUUUUGAUAAAUUUUAUGUUGAACCGGUGUCUAUUGACUCGUCAUGACUAUCAGUCAUCAAAUUAACCCGGUGUUCAUUAACCCGGCUCGACUUUCAACUACAAGUUGUCAGUACAUAAUCACUUAUAAUCCGGUGUUUAUUGACCCGGCCUGGCUUUGGACUAUAAGUCGCCAGUAUAUAUUUGGAUUGCGCCAUUGAAAUUAUGCGCUUAUAAAUCAUUGGGUAUAUUAUUCAAAUAGCCAACAUGGCUGGAUUUUUAUUCUGGUUAUCAAAAACCUUUAUUAUGAUUAAGGUUUUCAAAGUCGCUUUAGCGCAAUGGCUAUCAUAUUAUCAAUAGAUAUGAUUUAUUCUACAAUUGAAGGAAUAGUCCUGAGUUGCUGCAGGCUUACGACCCGGCACUUGGGGGCUACAUUAUUUCAGUUGAAAUUACAUCAAAUACACAAGUCUCAUGUCGCUGCAAGCAUGCAUCAUGAUACUUGGGGGCUAAUGCAAAGUCAUUUUUUUGCUCACCUUAUUGAAGACCCGACUUAUCACAUCGUAAUGAGCCUGCCCUUGGGGGCUACCAAUUGCUUCUGUAAAAAAUUCAAGGUACAAAGUUUUUUAUCCACUACAUUAUCCACUGCUCAGUUGGUAAAGCACAAGGCUCUUAACCUUGUGGACAUGGAUUCAAGCCCCAUGAUGGGGGUUACAUCAUACGAUGUUAUUUUUAUUGAAGUAUAUAUCAAGUCCCAGCUCAAUAUUAUCUUACUGAGCCGGACCUUGGGGGCUACAUUGUUGUUGUUCAAAGUGUACAUGAUUAUAUUUACAAAAUCCCUGCUCAUUAUUACAUAAUGAGCCGGUCCUUAGGGGCUACACUGGUUGAAGUUUUUUAUGAGCAUCAGGAAAUUACAAGUCCCAGGUUGCUGCAAGCAUGACAACCCGGUACUUGGGGGCUACAUAUACGGAAUACUCAGUUCUGACUAGUGAUUGAAGAUGAACAAACUGGAUUUCUUCAAGCUUGUGACAUUCAUAUUGAAGCAAAUCUUAAGUUGUUACUACAUUACCUUCUUAAGAUUUGAGGACUACAAGUGAUGGGUAUAUAAGAGGUAUAUUUUCAAAAGCUGAUGUCAACAAACAGUUAUGAUCCGGUGCCAUCAAUAUUUGUAAACCGACAAGUUUUACAUUCUUAAACCGGCCAAGUUUUACAUUCUUAAACCGGCUGAAGAUCAGAUGAGUAUUUCAAGGACCAAUAUUGUUUUUAAGCAUUGGGAGCUGAAUCAAAGGAGUUAUUCUUCACAAUAUAUUUUCUAUGAGAAACCAAUAUCAGCAAGUUGAUUAUGAAGCUGGUCUAUUGAACCAGAUUUUCUAGAAGAAAGAAGUGACAAGGACUUCAGGAUGAUCAGGAUCAGUUUAACAUGGAUAAAUCCAAAUUAAACCGGGGGCUAAUGUCGGGGAUAUACCCCACAGUAUGACCCGGCCGGAGUCGUAACCCGGCCGGGACUUGGUAAACCGGUGGGUGUUAAACCGGCAGAGAGCCAAGACAGAUGGCUAGGACAGACGGUAAACCGGUGGGUGUUAAACCGGCGGAGAGUCAAGACAGAUGGCUAAGACAGACGGUAAACCGGUUGGUGGUAAACCGGCAGACAAUGUUAAACCGACAGACAAUGUUAAACCGACAGACAGUGUUAAACCGGCAGACAAUGUUAAACCGGCAGACAGUGUUAAACCGGUAGACAAUGUUAAACCGGCAGACGUUGAGAAGCCCAGGAAAGGAAGUCAAAAUAGUUUAAGUCUUAGUCCGAGAUGGACUCUACAUGUAACCCGCCCCUCUAACUUAUAUAAGGAGGGGCAGGGCUCCCAAAGAGGGACAAGCAAGAAACAAUCACUAGGGCUAGACAUAACUAGAGGAGAGCCGGUUUACGGCGACUCCCUCGUGAUGAUAAUGAGAUCUAGCCUCAAACAGCAUGUAGGGUAUUUACCGGAUGAUGUUUCCCGGGGCCCGAAGCUGUCUAAAUCCUUGUCUUGUGUUGCGUCUCUCGAUUUCGCUCAACCCCUCUCAAGCUACCACAUAGAUGCGUUGGCCUCGCGACUAAGUCCUGACACUAAGGACAUCUGACGUGUUAAUUCCACGACAGUCACCAAAACACAUAACUCAUAUAAUACAUAUCGUCAUCGGACGUUAAGUGUGUGGACCCUACGGGUUCGAGAACUAUGUAGACACGACCGAGACACCUCUCCGGUCAAUAACCAAUAGCGUAACCUGGAUGCUCAUAUUGGUUCCCACAUAUUCUAUGAAGAUCUUUAUCGGUCAAACCGCUAUGUCAACAUACGUUAUUCCCUUUGUCAUCGAUAUGUUACUUACCCGAGAUUCGAUCGUUGGUAUUUUCAUACCUAGUUCAAUCUCAUUACCAGCAAGUCUCUUUACUCGUUCCGUAAUGUGUCAUCCCUCAACUAACUCAUUAGUCACAUUGCUUGCAAGGUUUCAUAUGAUGUGCAUUACCGAGAGGGCCCAGAGAUACCUCUCUGAUACUCGGAGUGACAAAUCCUAAUCUCGAUCUAUGCCAACCCAACAAACACCUUCGAAGAUACCUGUAGAGCAUCUUCAUAAUCACCCAAUUACGUUGUGACGUUUGAUAGAACACAAAGGCAUUCCUCCGGUGUCCGGUAGUUGCAUAAUCUCAUAGUCGGAGAAAUAUGUAUUUGACAUGAAGAAACCAGUAGCAAUAAAACUGAACGAUCAUUAUGCUAAGCUAACGGAUGGGUCUUGUCCAUCACAUCAUUCUCCUAAUAAUGUGAUCCCGUUCAUCAAAUUACAACACAUGUCCAUGGCUAGGAAACUUAACCAUCUUUGAUCAACGAGCUAGUCUAGUAGAGGCAUACUAGGGACAUGGUGUUUUGUCUAUGUAUUCACACAUGUAUUAAGUUUCCGGUUAAUACAAUUCUAGCAUGAAUAAUAAACAUUUAUCAUGAAUAAUAAACAUUUAUCAUGAAUAAGGAAAUACAAAAUAACAACUUUAGUAUUGCCUCUAGGGCAUAUUUCCUUUAGCAACCUCGACCUCGACCUCAUUAGCCGCCUUCCUGACGCGGUGGCUGGCACCGUUGUCUCCCUCCUCCAGACCAAGGACGGCGCGCGCACGUAGGCCGUCUCCCGCCGCUGGCGCCCCCUUGCGCUCCUCGGAAACGCUGCUCAACCUCGUGGCGGAUCAUGCCCUCUCACGAGACGAUUCACGCGCCACGCUGGUCUUCAAGAUCCUCUCCGACCACCCCGGCCCGGCCCGCCGCUUCUUGCUCCACCUCCUCUUCUCCCCCGAUAGCAUAGGCGAGGUCGACGACUGGUUCAGCUCCAGGUCCCUUGCCGGCCUCAAGGACUUGGAGGUCACCAACCUUCAGAGGAGGAACCACUACCCACUGCCACCGCACUCGCUGACCCGCUUCACGCCCACACUGCGCGUGCUCGGCCUCGGCGGCUGCUGAUUCCCUGCCCUGGCCAUGCCACCGAGCUUCAUGCACCUCAAGAAGCUCAUCCUCUAUGACGUCGACAUCUCGGAGCAAUCUCUGCGAAGCAUAAUUUGUGGCUGCACUGUUUUUCAAAGUGUCUCGCUGCACAACAUGGGCUUUGGUUGACGAGGACAUGUACCUAGGAUAGGGUCCCAGGCCUGACCUACAUACCCUACCGAAGGGCAUUACAUACAAGAACCCAAGGCCUACAAAGUUAGAAAGGAGGCACCGACUGGAAUGACCGCAUCGUACAAGUCACUUGAACAAAGGAUCCACUCGAAAACUUCUCCAUCACUCGACUGUCCCUAUUCACUCAGAGUACCAACCGUCACUUGAAGGCAGAAGACCUAGAGCAACCUUGGUAUGGAAACGGUCGGGCAAUCAGUUCGUCACCCUAAAGAGCAUCAAAUACAAACGUUACUAGUAAUGCUCGCACCCUUUACUUCUCCAUUGAAACCUUGGGUAACGGGGCAUUCAUGAGGGGCCAGCAGGCUCUAUAUAAGCUGCCCCUCUGCUCCUGCACAAGGGGUCGCACCCCUUGUAACACAUCACACCAGAUAACAAAACUCUUGCACCACCGAGAGGCAGGGUCUUUACCUCUUCUGAAAGGGUCUGAACUCGGAGUGUACGACCUCGCCGUAGCUAGGCUCUGCCCUCCUAUACGUACUCCUAACCUCUACUAUCAUAUCUGUUCCCACGACAAUGGUCGCCUUUGCAUCAGCUCGCCAACGCUCAGGAGCAUCGUCUUCUAUGCUCCUCAUGCCGAAGGUGUCCUCACCUUCCAGGAGCUGGUCAUUGAGGACGUCCCUUGCCUUGAGAGGUUGCUACUGAUUUAUCCAGACUCUAGUCCGACGACCAUACAAGUGAUCCGGGAUCCUAAACUGGAGAUACUUGGUUCGUUGUCUGAACAAAUAUCCACACUCCACCUUGGAAAACCACAGUCUUUCAGGUAGCAGCAAAGACAAUCGUGCAUUUACCAUUCCUGUAGGCAUGCUUUUAUUCUUACAACACACUUGUUUUAUUUUUCUCGAGAAGAUGAUUGUUGUCAGCUUGACAACCAAAAUGCACUCGAUGAAGAUUUUGGUUCUUGACUCUAUUGGCCCUAAUCUGGGUGUGGUUAUUGACUUUUUGAAGUACUUCCCCUACUUGGAGAAGCUUUAUGUCAUUGUGAGUACUCAUAUUUAUUGCUAGAAAUGUCAAAACAACAUUUGUUCAGAAUUAUGAUCUAGUGAACUACUAGUAUUUAGCUGCCAAUUUGUUACCGACCAAAAGAAUGCAGCCGCCCUUGCUUGUCUGUCUAGUGUUGUCACACCCUUAGAGCAUGUCUAGUAGAACCCUCAAACCCUCACUAGCGUUUUAAGGGUCCAAAAAUGGUCUUUUUGUGCACUUUUACGGGUUGAAAAACAGGGGCAAAGAUUAGAACCCUCAAACCCAACCCUUAUAACGGAAUAUUCCCCAUGAACGACGUUGUCAUUGCGGGCAUACCGUCGAGCACCUCGUGCACGACAGGCAGAGGGCGGCGCGGGGGCGGAGGGCGGAUGGCGUGGCAGGCGCGGUCGGAGGGCAGUGGCCAGGGGGUGGGAGGCGGAGGCGGAGGGCGUGGGAGCGGGCACGGGCCGGAGGGCGGUGGCGGCGGGUUGACACGAAGGGCGCGAAGUCAGAGGGGCGCGGGNNNNNNNNNNNNNNNNNNNNNNNNNNNNNNNNNNNNNNNNNNNNNNNNNNNNNNNNNNNNNNNNNNNNNNNNNNNNNNNNNNNNNNNNNNNNNNNNNNNNNNNNNNNNNNNNNNNNNNNNNNNNNNNNNNNNNNNNNNNNNNNNNNNNNNNNNNNNNNNNNNNNNNNNNNNNNNNNNNNNNNNNNNNNNNNNNNNNNNNNNNNNNNNNNNNNNNNNNNNNNNNNNNNNNNNNNNNNNNNNNNNNNNNNNNNNNNNNNNNNNNNNNNNNNNNNNNNNNNNNNNNNNNNNNNNNNNNNNNNNNNNNNNNNNNNNNNNNNNNNNNNNNNNNNNNNNNNNNNNNNNNNNNNNNNNNNNNNNNNNNNNNNNNNNNNNNNNNNNNNNNNNNNNNNNNNNNNNNNNNNNNNNNNNNNNNNNNNNNNNNNNNNNNNNNNNNNNNNNNNNNNNNNNNNNNNNNNNNNNNNNNNNNCGGGAGGUCGACGGGGCGGCCGGCGGCGGCGGGGGCGACUAGCAGCGGCGGACACGGGCGUGGGCGCGGGAGUUGGGAGGAUUUUUACUUCCCGCGCGAGGAUAACCGCCAAAUGAGGGUUGGGGUAGGUUUUGAUCCCCAACCCUUACUUCUGAGGGUUGGGAGAGGGUUUGAGGGUUGGACCCUUAAAAAAAUUUGAGGGUUUGAGGGUUAAGGGGUUCUAGUCUACGCGAUUUUUUGCUCGCAAACAGUAAAAGAAUAGUUAUUUAUAAGGGUUUGUGGGUUUGAGGGCUCUGCUAGAGAUGCUUUUAGGAGAACAUCUCUAGCCGCACCUCCAACAGCCCCACCCCAGGCCCUUUUUGAGCGCCGGCGCUAAAAAAAGGCUCAGUCGCGCCCCCAGAAGCCCAUUUUUUGCCGGUUAGGCCCGAUUUUGGCGCCGGCGAACCCAAUCCGAAGCCGGCGCUGGGGGCGCCCAGGGGCACCGGGGGAAGCAUUUUUGACGGGAAAGGUCGGCGGGCCCACCGAGUCAGCGACCAGCUGCGUCUCGUCUUCCUCAUCGCCUCGUUUUCCCGCGGGGAAUCAAUGCCAAGGUUGCCGCCGGUCAGCCUUCCAUUAAUUCCUCAUGGGCGGCGCAGUGACGGCACGGCGGCGCACCCACAUACACACACGUCUGCCGCCCCCAUGCGGCUAUAAAAAGCCGCCCUAUCCCUCCCCGGUGGAUGCAUUCUCCUUCGCACGCAGUCCCUCCCUUACUCGUCGACGACGCCUCAUCCCGUCUCUCUCUCUUGCCUCCUCCAGCCACCUCGUCCGUUGAUGGGAAAGCGUUUCCCCGGCGCCGGUGUGACGGCCAACGGCUUCGGCCGUCGCACCCUGCACGAGUGGGAGGCGUACCUCCUGCACGAGGCCAACUACCCAUCAUCGCCUGACAUGCGCGUGCCGAGGCGGUGGAGGCUCAGCGCCGGAGGUGUCCCCGUCCCCCCACAGCCCGACGCCGGCCGCUUCCACGGUGAGAUCGUGCGCAUUCGGGCCUCCAUGCCGGAGGAGGUGCGCGGCGCCUGGUGUACGCCGCCAACAACCACGCCAGCUGGGCGGCGUACUUCCAACGCCGCCUCGAGGAGCAGGUCGCCUCCACCAACAACCACCAACAACGCGUUGGUGAUGAUGCGCCACAACGCCGAUGGCCGCCGCCUGUGGUGGGGCAUCCCCGGGCGGACACUGCACUACGUCCUCGAGUACCUCGAGGGCGGCAACCAGCCGCCACUCCUGUAUUCGGCGGCCCCGGUGCCUGUCCCCCGCCGGAGCGGCGACAUUUGGAUGCCGAGGUGCAUGGCGGGUGGGUCGUCGUCCUCCUCCUCCUUCUCCUCCUCCCGCUCCACCAGUUUGCCGGCGCUCGCCAGCGUGAAGGCUGAGCCCGUGGAGACGCCGCUCGGGCGGCACACCCGUCCUCGUCAUCAAGGAGGGCGGUCGUGGCUCCUCCUCCUCCUCUUGCCUCAUCAAGCCAAAAACGGAGCCGGGGCUCAUCGCCGUGAAGAGCGAGUACGGCGACAUUGCCGCCGUCGACGAGGCCGCCAUCAAGUGGGCGCGUGAGGACUGCGUCCGGCUGGAGACGGAGCGCCAGCACUGCACCCUUGAGGAGUUCGCCGCUCGGCACCGCGGCCGCGAUGAGGGCGGUGUCAUUGUCCUCGAGGACAGUGACAAUGACGCACCACCGCCGCCCACCAAACCUGUCCGCCAAGGCGACCUAGGGAAGAGUGCAGUAAGGACGGCGGCGGCGUGAAGAAGGAGGAGGGCAACAACGGUGACUACAACACCUUUGGCGCGCUCUUCGGCCUGUAGGAGGGGCGGCGGACGGCGGCACAGUAGUUCUACUUUAUGUUUUUUAAGUUUUUAAAUUAUGUUUUUUAAGUUUUUAUGUACAAAUAUGAAUGAAAUCGCCUAGUUUGGCCGAAUAUGUGUCGUGUUUGGCCGAGUUUACUUUUCAAAAAACGGCGUCUGGGNNNNNNNNNNNNNNNNNNNNNNNNNNNNNNNNNNNNNNNNNNNNNNNNNNNNNNNNNNNNNNNNNNNNNNNNNNNNNNNNNNNNNNNNNNNNNNNNNNNNNNNNNNNNNNNNNNNNNNNNNNNNNNNNNNNNNNNNNNNNNNNNNNNNNNNNNNNNNNNNNNNNNNNNNNNNNNNNNNNNNNNNNNNNNNNNNNNNNNNNNNNNNNNNNNNNNNNNNNNNNNNNNNNNNNNNNNNNNNNNNNNNNNNNNNNNNNNNNNNACGGCUGGAGAUGCUCUGACGUCUGCAGAAUGGUCACCUCACUUCAGGAAUGGUAACAUCUAUACCUACUCUGGAGCAACCCAGGAUUGAGGAGGUGGUGCCUGAGCCAAGGAUUAAAAUAUAUUUUGCAAGUGUACAAGACCCUUGAAUGUUACUAGUUUUUGUGUGUUGUGCUUAGUUUGUACUUGUUUUUUCUACUGCUUAAAGUCGUAUUGUAAGCUCAGACCAUGUGUAGGCUACAAGCCUACAACUACUAUAUUUGUGUCUCUACCUCUUGCUUUGAUGAAAGAACAUAGCCUUGUAUUUCUUUGUUUAAAAGAGUGCAGUGUCAAGUUUAUUUCCUGGCAUGCAAUUCAUUACGACUUCGUUAGCAGGUCAUUGAGACCACCUGUAGACUACAACCAAUAUCCGCAAACUUGUCUGCUAGUUUAGUAAAUUUAUUUUGUCUUGCUUUUAUGUGGUUGCAGUACAUUAUUUGGCUUCUUCAGGAAAGAGACGCUUCUCCUCUUUUUUCCUGUUCUCUGUUCACAGAUACCAAAAUGGGAGACUUUCAUGGACUUCUUUUUAUUGAAGAGAUUCAGUUUUUUUCUGAACCCCGUUUUUUUUACCAAUAGGCUGUUAAAUCAUUUGAAGGAGAUUUCUCAAAAUUUUGCAAGGAGUCGGACAUCUUAACUGACUUUUUUUCAUUUGGCGCAUUUUUUAUUUCAAAAAAUAAAUCUUGCAGUACAUCUGGAUGUGUUUUUUUCAUCAUUAAUCAUUAUUUAUUUAUUUUCUUGGUUCAGUCUGCUCUUUCUUGUCAAUUUCUCAGUAUUUGUUUCUUUUUUACUUUCUUAAUUUGCUACUAGUUCGUUGGUCUUUCUUCAGUCUUCCUUAUGUUCAGUCUGUCAUAGUUCCUUAGGUGCUUAGUCCUCUUCAGUUUUGUACUCUAUGUUUCAUCAUUUCUUUAGUCUCUCAGAUCUUUGGUCUUGAAACUAGAUGAACGGGCAAGAAAAUGCUUGUAAACCUUUCUUCGGUAAGUCUCUGUCUUCUUCUAUUUCUCUUGUCAGAGAAUAUGUUCUAAGUUCCCGUUUUUACUAUCUAAGCUAGAGAGUUUUAUUUUUCAGUCACGUUGAGAUUAGUGAUUUGUUUUCUGCUACACCAACUCUGUUUCUUCAGUAUCACUUUCCAGCCAUGUUGAGACAUUCAGUGGUUUCAGUGUACUUCUGUUUCUCAUUCUUAUGCCUGCUAUCCAUCAGACUCGUAACGUGUGAUAGCUGUGCAGUAGGCAGCAGGUAAAAGAUGCCCUUCAUGGUGCAAGAAUUUGCAAGAGUAGCAUGUUCAGUCCCAGUGCAGAGCUGCUCUGACUGUUGUGGUCGUGAAAUUCCAACUCUUACCAACAGCAAGGGACAUAGAAUCAUUUUCCCGGUGGUGCGAUUAGGAAGAGAGAAAUCGCUUCCGAAAUUACAAGCUCAUGUGCCGGAUCGUUUCAGUGCAGGCGCGGAGUUGGAUAAAAUUCAGCUAGCCGACAUCACAUCCUCCAGAUGCUGUUCUACAAGAGCACUGCACCUAUAUUUUGGUCGAGAUAACAGGAAUAUGUGGCCACGGGUCGACAUUGAAUGUCUGAAUUUUGACGGGCCAACUUACCACAAGACUGCAUCAGGUUGGAGGUAGGAGACACAAGACACAACCGUCUGAUGAAGAUCCAAAGGUAAAAAAAAUCAACUUACACCAAAAGAAAAUUCAGUCGACAUACAAAUAGCCAAGUCCAAUUUUAUUAUGUGUCUGUACUUCUUGCCGUGUUGUCCUGCUGCCGUCGCUUGCCUCAACAGAUCACAUGUUUAUCAAGUCUGGUGUCUUGACACCUAUGUAUGGCUGAAAAGCUUGAACCUUAUUUUUGUGGAAACUUGGCCACGUAAAUUUAGUUGAGAUUACAACAACAUGCAUAUAUGCGCUCACGAAAUUAGCGUCAGCGUCUCGUUUUGACAGGGAUUGAUGGUUCAACCAACUAACUCAAGCACGUUGGUUCGGCUCCGAGCACCCGGACUGGAUAACCAACCAACUAACCUUUUUGCAAUAAUAAAAAAAAAGUAACAGAUACAGUCAGGUAGCGGCAAGGACAAUCGUGCAUUCGCCAUUCCUGUAGGCAUGCUAUUAUUCUUACAUCGCACUUUUUGUUUUCUCCAGAAGAUGAUUGCUGUCAGCUUGACAACCAAAAUGCACUCAAUGAAGAUUUUGGUUCUUGACUCUAUGGGCCCUAAUCUGGGCGUGCUUGUUGACUUUUUGAAGUGCUUCCCCUGCUUGGAGAAGCUCUAUGUCAUUGUGAGUACUCAUAUUUAUUGCUAGAAAUGUCAAAGCAACACUGGUUCAGAAUUAGGAUCUAGUGAACUACUAGUAUUUAGCUGCCAAUUUGUUAACAACUAUCUUUAUAUCAUAUGUUUUUCCUAUCCCCAGUUGAAUCGGCACAAGGAUGUAAAUUAUGUGUGGAAGCAUGGUCCAUUGGAUCCAGUUCGGUGUCUUGAGCUCCAUCUAAAAAAAGUGGUGUUGAAGAAUUACAAUGGUGACAGGAGGGCAUUUACUAACCUUGCUAAGUUCUUUAUUUUGAAUGCAAAAGUGCUGAAAGAAAUGGAAAUCGGAUUCUUUCAAAUUGGCAACGAAGAAUGGGUUUGUUGUCAACAUAGGCAACUACAAGUUGAGAAUAGAGCUUCUCAAGGCGCUCGAAUUGAACUAAAAGAUGAUAUGGACCUGAAAUUCACUGACCGUGUGCAUACCCAUAAUUUCUCAAUUGCUGAUCCCUUUGACAGAUCCUUGUGUGGAUGCUCCAAGUGUGUUAGGGAGCCCUUCUGAAGAUUGUGCCACCCUCUGUCCAAAGCCAAAACAACGUGGGCCGCCCUUGCUUGUCUGUGUUGUCACACCCUUAUGGCGCUAUGCAGAAUGGUCUACUCAAUUCAGGAAUAGUAUUGAUUUGUGCCGACUCUGGAGCAACCCAGGAUUGAGGAGGUGGUGUCUGGGCCAAGGAUUAAAAUUGAUUUUGCAAAUGUACAAGACCCUUGAAUGUUACUAGUUUUUGUGUGUUAUGCUUAGUUCGUACUUGUUGUUUCUAUUCUGCUCAAAGUCGUAUUAUAAGCUUAGACCAUGUGUAGGCUACAAGCCUACAACUAUUAUAUUUGUGUCUCUACUUCUUGCUUUGAUGAAAAAACAUAGCCUUGCAUUUCUUUGUUUAAAAGAGUGCAGUGUAAAGUUUAUUUCCUGGCAUGCAAUUCAUUACCACUUUUAUAGCAGGUCAUUGAGAGCACCUGUAGACUAUAACUAAUAUCCGCAACCUUGUCUGCUAGUUUAGUCAAGAAUGUAUGGUUGAUUCACAGAAUUCAUUUAUUUCACGGAUUUUAAAUUUGACAUCUUGUAUUCAUACCAUUCUUCUAUUCUCAUAAAAGGAAACCAAGUAAAAUUUACAUUAUAUUUUCCUGUGCUAAAUUUAAGGUGGAUUUAAAAGGCAUACUCUGUAUUUUUAUUGUUUCAUGACCCCAUUCUGCCACAAAUUGCUAUAUUUACAUGUGUUUAGAAGAUUAAUUCUGCUAUAUCUACUGCUAUGCGCUCACAAAAUUAGCACCAGCGUCUCGUUUUGACAGGGCCAGCUAGCCUUGACUACCAGAAGAUCGAUGGUAUAAGCUCAAGCACGUCUUUUUGCAACAAUCAAGCAACAGAUACAGUGAUACAGACUGCAGUACUUCUGAACUUGUGAUAGAGAAAAUAUGUUUGCUUGAAUGUUACCGAGGACAGCAGUAGGUAGCAUAGCAGUCAGUCACAGGGGACUGCACUCCAGACAUGCAUGUCUAAAUAUAGCUCAACCAAAUCAAAUGUAGCACGUAUACUACACACAGCAACCCAAUCAAAUGUAGAAAUACCACAGAAGAUGCAUAGCUCAGUUCGGCCUGAGUAAAUAAUGCAUAGCUCAGCACGGCCUGUGUAAACCACACAAAAACAAUAACAGAGUUUUGCUUCCCUUUUAAAAAAAACAGAGUUUUGCUACGACAAGAAUUAAAUAAAAUUGAGGCUUGUUACGGAGCCCGAGCUUCCCUAGCAGGGAACUAAAAACGCGAGAGUAGCAUGUUCAGUCUCAGUGCAGAGCCGCCCUGACUUUCAAUUAUCGCGGUGGAAUUCCAACUCUUAGGAGCAGAGCAGCAAGAAGCUUUGACUCGAGAGAUAAUUCGUUUCCAAAAUUACGUACGUACAAGCUUGUGCGUCUCCAUCGUUGGAUGGCGACUUGCAUGCUUUCGGUGCAGGUGGGGAGUUGGACAGAAUGUAGCACCUAUAUUUUGGUCGAGAUCACCAGAUCGGCAUUAAUUAAUGUCUGAAUUUUGACGGGCGAGCUCACCAUAGCUCUGAACUUUUGCCAACCAGCACGUAUGCUACACACGACAACCCCAAUCAAAUGCAGAGAUAUCACGCAAGACUCAUAGCUCAGUUCAGCCUGCGUAAAUCGUACACAAACAACAAGAUAGAUUUGCCACCACGAGAGUUAAAUAGAACUCAAUCUUCCCCAACAGCGAAUUAAAAACACAUCUACUACUAAUGUCUGUUCUAACUCAAGCAACCCAGCAAGACAAAGUGAUCCACUCAACGCUUUUGGAACCAAAUGCUGAUGGCCGGCCAGUUGAAUUGCAGACAUGGCAGUAAGUAGCAGGACUGGAUUCUCCGGAUGCAUUACUUGACUUGAAUCCACGAACUGCUGUUCAAGAUGGGUGUAGGACAUAUUACAAAAAAUUGCUACUCGUAGGUGUGAGUAAAAAAAAAUCACCAUCAUUUGAGUUACCAGGAUUAAGGUGGCUAGUUAUUGGUGGCCACUCUCUCAUUCGUCUGGUCUCCUUUCUUCGCCAGAGAUUCUUUUGCGACGACCUCUUCCCACUCCUUGUCAUCCUUAAACAUGGCACCUUCAAGGGCUCUGCUGACACGGAUUCUGCACUUGGGGAGCAAGCUGGUUGCCUUUUCAAUGGAACACUCCAGAGCCUUCACCCAGCCAGGAGCUGCUCUGUAACAAUCGAUAUGGACCUCGAGCUGUGCAAGGCCUGGAAGAUGCUCGACACCCAAGUCUGCAAAAGAGUCGGACGCCACAAUCAUUGGGCUCAAUUCAAGACGGAGACAACGGAGUGCUGGCAUAGCACCUGGUGCAAAUGUUAGCUGCAGUCCACCCGUUGGUUGCACUUCAAAUUCAAGACGGAAGAGUGAAUAGUAGCGGAAGCGGAAGACCUUUAGCAGUUUGAAUCCAUCACUACCGAUGAUCAGCUUUUCAUUAAUGGCCCCUCUUAUUAUCUCAAGAUCCAGAUGGGCAAGAGAAGGCAUGCCCAUGAGAACUUGGAGAUCCUCCUUAUCAAUUCCCGUGACCUUUCUGCGUAGUCUUAUGAGAUUCUCGAGGGUGGUCAUUCCCCUGGGAACCAUUCCAAUACCUGACUGAAUUUCAAGAACUUGGAGGCACGGGAAUGUGCAGCAUGGGUUACAGAACAUACGCUCGGCUAUCUUUCCACUAGUACAAAGAUACCGAAGGUUGCAUUUUCCCGACUCGUUUACUUCCUCCACAAAUCUCACUGGGUUGUCAGUUUUCUCGAAGCAUAACUCCUCCAAGGCUUGCAGACUCCGGAACCCUCUUGCAGGUAAUUGUGUGUAAUCGCUGACAAAUAGACGCACCAAUUUCCGCAACUGCGCCACGGUUGAUGGCAGUCCUAGAAGUGAAUAACAGUAUAUCAAAUCGAGAGUCUCCAAGUGCUGCAGCUUUCCGAUUUCACUAGGAAGCUCGGUAAUUUCAAAACCCCUAAUUCGCAAAUACCUCAGCUGGCAUGAACUACCUAAGUGUUUCACAUGCUUGUUUUCCAACCAUUUAUUUCCAUCAAGAUCCAACACGCGCAAAGCAUGGAAGUCCACAAGGUGGGGUAUAUGCUCAAAGUAUUCCAGGUAUAUAGUCAGUGAGCGAACAUAUAUCUUGGUUUCUGUAAUCGCACAGACUGCGCCAUUAUGCUCUUUGCCACUAACUUGCACGGACAGACGUCGAAUCUUGUUUGGACAUGAAUUGCAUACAUGCCCAUUUAAAACAGUGGCAAAAUUCUCUUCAUCUGAUAAAGAUAUGAUAAGGUCAAGCACCAUAUCAUGGACUCGACAAUAUUUCACAGUACCAUCAUCAUCAAUAUCAAUUGGCUGGAUCAUAUUUCUAUUAACAAGUUCAUUGAUACAUUUCUCUGCUACAUCAUCCAAACGUCCCCAUCGUCUAUCAAGGAAUCCUUCGGCCAUCCAUUUCCAUUUCAGUUCUUCACACGUGAUUGUGUAGUCCUCUGGAUAUAUACACAAGUACAAUAAACAAGUCUUCAAAUAGUGUGGAAGAUCCCAGUAACUAAGUAAUAGUAUAUCUUUCAUCCCUUUUAAGUUCCCAUCAUUAUCAAGCGACGAACCAGUGCCAAUGAAAUCUUCCAGUCUCUCCCAUUCAUCCUUAUGUAUCUUAUUGGCAAGCAAACUUGCAACUGUAAUUAUAGCUAGUGGAAGACCAGCACAUUUUUUUAAGAUCUUAGUUGAAACUUCUUCCAGUUCAACAGGACAAGGAUCAUCUACGCAGAAUAUUCUCUUAAAAAACAAUUUUCGGGAAUCAACAUCAUCUAGAGGUGCCAUUUGAUAGGGUUCACCACCGGAGUCGGAACAACACCCAUUAGCUACACGGGUAAUGUGUGUAGUAGCAAUUAUUCUGCUACCAUUAUUAUUCUCAGGAAAUGCUGACUUGACCAAUUUCCAGUGUUCUUCUUUCCAUACAUCAUCAAUGACAACAAAGUACCUGCUUUCAAUAUUGUGCAUCAUUAAGCAUUUGAUAGCUGUGAUGACUUGUAAUAGCAACUAAUUUGAUAUUCACCAUUAAUAUUUUGUACUUCUGUACUUAAUUUUUCAGUAAUUUCUUUUGUAUCAAUCAAACCUCUGGCUACAAAUAGAUUAGGGCUAAACAUGAGUACUACAAAAUAGAAAUAAAACUAUUAAUUUUGAAAAAAUAGCUCUACCAGGUCAUCUAAGUAUAGAAAGAGUUAAUAAACGGUAGGUACAUGAGAAUAAAUAUAGAGUACACAAAACAAAACAUUGUAGGAGUACCUCUUUCCCGUCAAGAUGUGUGCAGUUUUUCGAAUUAGUCGGUCUAUGUUCCAACCCUCUAACUGACAUUCCUUGUCAGCGAUUUGCGACAAGAUAUCCUUCAAGAGCUUCUGUAGAUAAAGAGUGCGUGAAACAGAUACAGAAGCACGGCACUGGAAGUCUUCUCGUACUCCAAUCUUGCGAUACACCUCCAUUGCCAAGGUGGUCUUCCCCAACCCACCGGAGCCAACAAUCGGCACCACUUUCAGCUCCAUACUCCCAUCCAACAAUAAAGUAGUAACUUGCUUCACUCGGUUGUCCAUUGCCACCAGGCCCUUGACCUCCUCAUGGAGCAUGGUUAUCCGUGGGUCUAUCUCCACCGUCCUUGUUGCACUAUAGUAACUCUCAUCAAGCUUGUACCUGUGCGAAUAGGCGAAAGCGUCUUACCCUCGGUGUGAGGGGGCGCGUUGCAUGUUAUAGGCUGCAGGGGCGCACCUCCCUGGCAAAUAGCGCAUACAAGUUUGUUGGAGAAGAUUACAACUUGGGGAGGAAGAGAUAAAGAGAUAAGAGGUUUACAAGAUAUUGAACUACUUGUCUAACAACCUAGUCUAUCUCCUGGACGUCUCCUUGUGCGCCAAACCUGUGCUCCAACGUGACAUGAAUAUGUGUUUAACACCCUCCCUUAAUCACAACUUCAUCAAGUUGAGAUUAUGUUUGAAGUCUUCAAAACUUCUUGUGGGUAAGGGUUUUGUGAAUCUGAUCCUUGGAAUGCACAAAACGUAUGUCAAGCUUCUUCUGAGCCACUCGUUCUUUGACAAAAUGAAAAUCAAUUUCAAUGUGCUUGGUCCUAGCAUGAAACACUGGAUUAGCAGACAGAUAUGUGGCACCCAGGUUAUCACACCAUAAACAUGGCAUUUUAGUACUUUUUACACCAAGUUCUUUCAGCAGUGAUUGCACCCAUAUAAUCUCAGUUGUAGCAUUUGCCAAUGCUUUGUAUUCUGCCUCUGUACUAGAGCGAGAGACAGUAGCCUGUUUCCUAGCACUCCAUGAAAUCAGAUUAGGACCAAAAAAUACUUCAAAGCCACCAGUGGACCAUCUGUCAUCCAAGCAACCUGCCCAGUCGGAAUCUGAAAAGGCACUCAAAAGUGUGGAUGAUGACUUGCUGAAAUUCAGACCAAUACUCAGAGUGUUCUUGACAUAUCUGACUAUACGCUUUACAGCAGUCCAGUGAACUGUGGUAGGUGCAUGAAGAAACUGGCAUACCUUAUUGACAGCAAAUGAGAUAUCAGGUCUUGUAAGCGUCAGAUGUUGGAGUGCACCUACCAAAAUCCUGUACCUUGUGCUGUCAUUCUGACUCAAGGGCUGUCCUUCUGUAAGAGACAGCUUCUCUGAACUGGACAGUGGAGUAGGUGAGGGUUUACACCCUUGCAAACCAGCCUUUUUUACCAAAUCUGUUGCGUAUUUUUCUUGGGAGAGAUGAAGUCCAUCCUCAUGCUUCUUUACUUCAAUCCCUAGAAAAAAAAUGCAACUCUCCAAGAUCCUUGAGAGAAAAUUCUGCACUAAGAUCCUUCAAAAGUCCUGUGAUAGCCUCAUUAGAUGAGCUGGUGACAAUAAUAUCAUCAACAUAUAUGAGAACAAAUAUGUGAGUGUUGCAUUUGUUGUAAAUGAACAAGGAGGUGUCAGACUUUGAAGGAAUAAAGCCAAGUGCUUGCAUUUUAUGACUCAGACGUGAGUAUCAUGCUCUAGGAGCCUGUUUCAGUCCAUAUAAUGCUUUGUCAAGUAUGCACACAUGAUGAGGUGCAUUUUUGUUUUCAAACCCAGGAGGUUGCUUCAUGUACACUUCCUCUUCCAGAACACCAUGCAAAAACGUGUUCUGAACGUCUAGCUGCCUGAGGCUCCAGCCCCUAGAGACAGCAAUGGACAAAACAAGACGGAUAGUGGCAGCUUUUACAACUGGACUAAAAGUAUCCUCAUAAUCAAUGCCAUACCGUUGUUUGAAUCCUUUUGCUACAAGUCUUGCCUUGUAACGAUCAAUGGUUCCAUCGGAUUUCCUCUUUAUCCUAAAUACCCACUUGCAAUCAAUAAGGUUUUUACCUUGCCGUGGAGGAACCAGAUGCCAUGUGUUGUUUCGUUUCAAGGCUGAGUACUCCUCUCUCAUUGCUCUCUUCCAGUUUUCAUCACCAAGUGCUUCUUCAAGUGUAUGUGGCUCGCCUGGUUCACCUGUGGAACAUACCAUCCCAAACUUUGUCAUGUGUUUAUAAUUUUGAGGUUGUAUUACCCCUUGUUGAAGAGGAGUGCGACGCGACGAGAUUGGCAGUGGUGCAGAAGAUCCCGGCUGAACUGCAGGGUCUGAUCCCGAGGCGGAUUCAGGAUCAGGCGCAGCAGCCGCGUUGGGAGCAGGCGCCGGAUCCUCUGUGCACCGCGGCACACCAGGAGCACGUGAAGAAGCCGCCUGCGGCACAGAAGAUCCCGCCGGGCCCGGCUCAUCAUGUGCCAAUGAUUGCACCGUUUCCCCUCUGGCGCCAGACGUGGGGCCCGCGUUGGUCGGACGGUGCAGGUCCCGCCGCUUGUAGCAGACGGGUUGGACGGGGAAACGCCCGCCCGAGGGCUUGCCCGUGGGCCCAGGUGAACGCGACGCGGGGUUGGCGUCUCCUCCAGCUGCUGUGGGUCGCAUGGCAUAGGCGGUUCCACCCGCUGGCGCGCGGUCGGCCGCAGCGGGAGCAGCAGAAGGCGCGGAGUCCGGGGAGGAUUGGCCUGACGAAUCUCCAGGCGGCGAUCCCGAGGCAGAUUCUGCCGCCAGGUCUGCGGGAACUGAUCCCAAGGGAGAUUUGCUCCCCCGAUCCUGGCACAUGAAAUAUGGCCCUGUUGGACAGAUUUCUUCAUCAUUUCAGCUCCGUUUUUUCAGCAUGGCUUCUUGCAUCAUCAUACAACUCAGGUAAAGUGGUGAGAAGGUUAGUCAUAGUAGGAUUAUUAGAGCUAUACUAGAGUAGGAGGAAGAAGUAGAAUUUCUUUCCGAAGUAAAGCGCCAACAUUUGGAUGUAGAUCAGCAAAGCGGAAUUUAGUUUCGUCGAACACAACAUCACGAGAUAUGUAUACUCGACCGGUAGAAACAUCUAGACACUUGACCCCCUUGUGUUGAGUGCUAUAUCCAAAAAAACACAUUGUUUUGACCGAAACAUUAAUUUGCGAGAGUUGUAUGGUCGGAGAUUGGGCCAACAGGCGCAUCCAAACACACGAAGUGAUGUAUAGUUUGGUUUGAUAUGGAGAAGCCAUUCAGUGGGUGUUUCAUUAUUGAUCACUCGACUAUAAAGCAUGUUGAUGAUGUGAACGGCCGUGAGGAAAGCUUUGUCCCAAAAUUUUAGGGGCAUGGAAGCACCGGCAAGGAGGGCCAAACCGACCUCUACUAUGUGCCUAUGCUUGCGUUCGGCAGAUCCGUUUUGUUGGUGAGCGUGGGGGCAUGACACAUGGUGAGAUAUGCCAAGUGUUUGAAAGAAGUAAUUGAGCUUCUCAUAUUCCCCUCCCCAGUCGGAUUGGACAGCAAUAAUUUUGCUAUCAAACUUACGUUCUACAGGUGCUUGAAAAUUUUUGAACACUUGAAAAACGUCAGGUCUUUUCUUGAGGAGAUAAAUCCAAGAAAAUUUGCUAUAGUCAUCGAUGAAGCUAACAUAAUAUGUGUGUCUACCCACCGAGGUAGGGGCAGGCCCCCAAACAUCAGAGAAAAUUAAUUGCAAAGGUUGAGUAGAAACACUGGUAAAUAUGGGAUAAGGUAAUUGAUGACAUUUUGCUCUUUGGCAAGAAUCACAUAUAGUUUCACUAUCUCGCUCACCAACAAACGGGAGCUUAUUUUUCUUAAGCAAGCGUUCAACUAAAGAAAAAGAUGCAUGUCCUAAACGAUCGUGCCAUCGUGUGGAGGAAAGCUUGAUAGCACCACAAGCUUGUUUAUUUGAUCUCCUAAACUCCGGAAUCAAUGGGUAAAGCCCUCGAACACAUCUACCGCGGUAGAGUACCUUCCUCGUGGCCUGAUCCUUGAUCAAAAAGAAGAAAGGAUGGAAUUCAAUGAACACAUGAUUAUCAAUAGUGAUACGAUGAACGGAGAGAAGAUUUUUGUUGGCACUAGAAACAUGCAAAAAAUUUCUAAGGCGAAUUUUGCGGGAAGGGGUACGUAUAACAGAAUGACCUAUAUGACUUAUCCUCAUACCUACACCACUUGCCGUGUGGAUCUGGUCCUUCCCAUGGUAUUUCUCAUGGAGGGUCACCUUCUCGAGCUCGCCCGUGAGAUGGUUUGUGGCACCGCUGUCCAGAUACCAGUUGGUAUCCACUCCAUAGGACCCGGCGGCAGCGGCAGCAACCUUGUCUUCUUCAUCCGAGGAAGCUUCAUCUUCGUCAAAGCGAUACCAGCAAUCCUUGGCCGAGUAGCCAAGAUUGCCGCAAAUUUGACAGCAUACAGCAUCGGGUCGUGACCGUCCCGAGCCGCCACUGCCGCUGCCGCCCCCGCCACGGCGACCCUUGUUGUUGUUGUUGAAGUUAGGGCGCCCGCCGCGCGAGCCGGAGUUGCUGGAGCCGCCACCACCUUGCUUGCCCUUGUGUCGAGGAGGACCACGGUGACGGGAUGAGUACCCGCCGCGCCUACGGGUGGCCGCGUUUGCCGAAGACUUGAAGCCGCCACCGGUGUUAUGGAACUGCGCUGAUCAAAGUUGCUCAGCAUGGCGUACAGCUCAUUGACUAGACCGGCAUGACGCAGGCGUCGAGGGCAGAGACAAGGGGCUGGUAGUCCAUGUCCAGCCCGUGCAGCAGGUAGGAGAUCAGUUCAUCAUCCUGGAUUGGCUUGCCAGCCGCGGCGAGUUCAUCGGCCAGGCCGCGCAUAGAUGCAUAGUACGCGGCAACAAAUUGGUUGCCCUUCUGUGCAUUGAUCAAAGCAGUGCGAAUGUUGUUAACACGACUCAGAGAUUGAGAGGAAAACAUGCCUGCGAGCGCCGCCCAGAGAGCGUGCGCGGUGGUGAUCGCGGUCACCGUGAUCAGCACUUCUUUGGAGAGGUUGCUGAGGAGGUAGCCGAGCACUUGUUGAUCCUCCCUCACCCAGAUGGGAUGGAGAGGAUUGGGCUCGGUCGUCUCCUUGCCUUCCUUGUCCUUGGUGACGAGGAGGCGGGCGGGUUCUGGCAUGGUUCCAUCGACAUAGCCGAAGAGCCCGGCUCUCCUCAGCUGCGGUGUAACUUGCGUGCGCCAUAGGACGUAGUUCGUCCGGGAGAGCUUCUCCGUGACUUGGCCGCCGAGAUUGGAUUGAGCGGCGCUAGAGGAAGACAUGGCUUGGCACUAGAUGGCAGCUAGGGUUUUGGAAGAGGAGGCUCUGAUUACCAUGUGCGAAUAGGCGAAAGCGUCUUACCCUCGGUGUGAGGGGGCGCGUUGCAUGUUAUAUACUAGACCUGUAGCCCGCCUUGGCGCGCGUUGCCGGGUCCCCACACUUGUGGCUAAACAUGUGUGUAGUUAUACUAUAAUACCACAUGUGCCAUUUUAGAUAACAUGGUAAUAUACAAUAUAUAUUUCACAUGUCUGCAACAUGCAAAGGUACAUGGCAACAAACAGAUCAAAGGAUCAAAGAAUGACAUAAGAGGGAGUAACUUGUAAUAAUAAAAUGGUUCAGUUCAUUAUAUCACUUUGAGCAUGUCAUGGAAAAUGUAUCAUGAUAUACCAAAAGCAGGUCCUAACGAUAGUGAAAGAGAUCAACAGAUAUGGUUCUUCUAAUUCUGAGCUCAUCUUCGAGAGAAAUUACAUAUUUACAUAUCUCCUAAUUCUGAUCCCAUCUUUCUAUAGUUCAGUCUUUAAUAAUUAUUUCAACAUCAACAGUAUAUGUGAACAUCAGGAGGGAAGCAGAUGUGUGCCUUCCUUUUGCAUUUGACUCGGUUGAAACAAUAAAACCUCUCCACAUAAAAAAAGCAAUCUGCAAAAGCAUGUUCCAAACAUUUUAGAGCAUGCUGGCAAUACAAAGCAAUAAAUGGUUGUACAGCAAAGCAGAAGUGCAUAUGAGCUACUACUGUGACGUUUAGUUAUGAAUCAAGUGGAGCACAAUAAGAUCAUGUUCAUAACCUGCAAAACAAUAAUAAAAGACCUCAAUUUAUUAUUUUCCAUGGAUUUAAGUAUAUUCCAUGAGAAAUUUCUGCUGUAACCAAGUCUCAAGCUCAAACCAAAAUAUUUUAGCAUCAUUACUUGAGUUGUUUUCUGUUUUCUGUAAGUUGUAGAUCUGAUGCUACACGCCCUGAUCAGUGCGCAGUAGUAAUAUAUGAUUCAGGUAUAAUGGACACUCAUGAUUUUUUUCCUUUCUUAAAAUGAGGUAUACAACUAAUCAACUAUACACACCGGAUACUCAAGUUACAUGGUAAUAAAUAUUCAGAGAAGAAAUAUAUCACGACAAUGAUCGCAACUCAUUUCAUGUAGUGCAAAUCACAAAAGGGGGAAGAUGCUUUCAUGGAAGAAUCUAAAAUCAUUCACUGCAUAACAAAUAUUGUUUAUCUACUACCAAUUAUAUAUCGCAGUUGAUGUAUGUACAUUACCAAGACAAAGCAAGUAACAGGAAGCACAUUAUUAUUUUGAGCUGAAGUGUAUGCAGAUGGCACAAAUACUCGAGGCAUGUUCUAAUUAUUCUACUGGCUCUAGGUCCAAAAGAAUGAGCAAGAAGAAAUAUAUAUCUCUCUCAGAAAAAUAUAGGAUUACUAAUCUGAAGAAUAUAAAUUUGUCUGAUAAAAAAAAAUCCAUGCAUGACUUCCUACCUCAUAAGCAUGCGGACCAUUUAGAAGCCAAGCUAACAUCAAGUACAAAAAAUACAAACCGUCAUUAUUGGCAAAAUGCCGCACUUCCUACCUCAGAAGCACGAGGCGUGCAAUAAUUAUUGGGAUAUCCUACCAUGAAUCAGCAGGCACAGGUAAAUGGAACAUACACAGUAAUAGUUCACACA